rnacentral:lncRNA from 1 species
GAAGAGGCAGCUGAAUUCGGUGGUUAUGCGCCGGGAAUACUCUCGCCGUCUCCGGCUAUGUUGCCGACAGCUUCUGCCGGGAUAUUCUCGCCGAUGAUUCAUCAAGGUGGGAUGUUUUCGCCGGCGAUACCGCCGGGAUUGUUUUCGCCGGCGGGAUUAAUGAGCCCGUUUGUAAUGUACAGUCCUGGUUAUGCUAGUUUGGCUGCUUCUCCAACUUUUGCUGAAGUCUUUAAUCAUAUUUGGGAUCUUUAGAAGAAGAAAAGGUUUAGACUUUUCAUUUUGCUCUGUAAUUUUAUUCAUUUUUAGACAUAUAUCCCAAAAAAUAGCCCAAAGGGUUCAAAAUGAGCUUUCAUGUAAACCAUAACAUCUCAAUUUAACUUCAAAAAUUUCAUACAGAUAGAUUCCUCCUAGAAACUAAAAAGUUUCUGCAAACUAUAUACAGGAGUUAUAAGAUUCUCCUGACCUAAGCUACUAUAUAAGGAACAAGACCGAGAAGUAGUUAUAAGUUUCUUCAAGUGGCUGCAACAAUAGAGUUCCAAGUUCCUCCAAUCAAUGUACCAACUCUCUCUCCUUUGAUGGCUUUCGCAAUGUUUCCAGGCUCAGAUAGGUUGAAAACCACAACUGCAAAGCCGCAGACCAAAACAUAUACUUAUUGUUGAAUUUGGAUGAUGAUUUUUGGUUAUGAUUUGAGAGUGUUGUGUUUUUUCGAAAACAAACCUGGGAUGUUGUUUUCUUGGCAUAAAGUGAUAGCAGUCAUAUCCAUCACGGAUAGAUCCUUUGAGGUUACUUCUUGGUAAGUUAGUGAAUCCAGGAGGCGAGCGUUUGGGUUUCGUUUAGGAUCAUCGUCAAAGACUCCAUCAACAUUUGUUGCUUUCAGCACCACUUCCGCAUUUACUGUGUCAAAGGCGAAGGAUAUAAGGGAAAAUGAACCAAUGGAGAAAUUUUUGAACAGAAAGAAACAACCUUUUACUUACUUUCAGCACAGCGAAGAGCUGCUGCAGUAUCGGUGGUGAAAAACGGAUUGCCUGUUCCGGCUGCAAAUAUCACAACCCUGCCUUUUUCUAGAUGUCUAAUUGCUCUUCUUCUUAUGUAAGGCUCUGCGACUUCCGACAUGCGGAAAGCGGUUUGAACACGUGUUGGGAUGCCGAUACUCUCCAUUGUCGCUUGAAGAAAUAUUGCAUUCAUCACAGUUGCCAGCAUCCUGUCAAAAUGUAGAUGAAACCAAUGAGAGACCAAAAGCCAAGUUUUGUUCGAAAAAUGAGGAACAAGAUAACUCGGUAGGGAAAGUUCAGAUUUGUGUGGCAGCAGAGGUCAAGUAUGGAUCUGAUACCCGAUAUAAUCAGCAGAGGAACGAUCAAGGCCACUGCACCCAGCCCAGGUGGAUCCACGAAAGAUGUUUCCUCCUCCAACAACAAUCGCAACCUGAUGUAAAAGCAUAAGAAGAUCAAGACAGAGGAUACAGGACUCUGCGAUGCCUAGUACCCAUCAUCCUUUGCGUAUGCUUAAAGCGUAAAUCUCCGCCUCAUGACUUAAGCUCCCGUUUCUUGCAAGUUCAUACUAUUUAGUUUUCAGCAUAGUUUGUAGCUUCUACACAGGCAGUUAUCAAUACUUUGGAGAGUAAAAAUUGCAUUUUAUCAUACUUGUGUCAAUCAACAAGUCUAGGAAGGAGCUCAAAGCUAUAUACCCAACCACUAAGAACCGCUAAAUCCAUGUUACAGUUACCCAAUCACAACUAGAACAAAAACGUUUCGAGAAUAACCUCAAUGCCAAGGCGAGUCACUGCUGCAACCUCCCUUGCAAUCGACAUAGUCACCUAAUUAGAUUAGUGGGAAGAUGGAUGAGAUUUAUGGAGAAGGAAAAAACAGAAACAAGGAGACUUUUUUUUUUUGUUUGCAUCACAAAAACCUUAGGGUCAAUAUUCUGCUCCUCGUCUCCAGCAAGAGCUUCUCCACUGACUUUGAGUAAAACCCUUCUCCAUUUAAGCGGUGGUUUGGAUGUUCCAUCGAAGGAAGGCAUUCCAGGAAACGAUGACUGCGCAUUUAAGCCACUGAAAAAUCACAGAUAACGGCAGCACAGUUUAACAAAAGCAAACAGAGCUCCACAGUUUUAGUUUUUAUGAUGCGUUUCAGGUUUACUUCAACAGGGAAUAAAAAAGAUCAGUUUGUGCAGUAUAUUUUAAUCAAAUCCUAAGCCCUAUAGCCAAAAGUGUCUUCAUUGACGAAAUUUCACAAACACUUGGUGGACGAACGUAUGGUUAGAAAUUGAAGAUUAAUACCUCCCGUUCAUAGACUCUGGAGUUGAACCAUUGUUCGAGGACAAAGACGACGAGCAGCUGAUAGGUAGACGCCGACUGAAACUCUGAUCGGAGAAGAAAUUACCCUGGCGAGAUGUGAGAGGUACGAAAGAGGUUCGGGAAAUAGAAGAAGAAGAAGAAGAAGUUGAGAUUGGUGAGUAAGAGGUGAGGGGCAACGGAAUCGCCAUUGCCGGAGAGAACGAUCGAGAUCUAAGAAGAGACGAGGCUGAUGAUAUUUACUGAUAUGUUCAGUAGAGAAACUUUCGCCGGCAAAAGAAGGGUUUGAGUCUGCGAAGAUAAGGUUUUAUUUCGAAUGUCAUUAAACUAAUUAAUAGACUUCCUACAGUGUUGUGAUGCUGUUAUUCUUUUUUUCUUUAUGAUAAAAAGAAAAUAGAAGAAAAAUAACCUACGAAAUCCCGCAUUUUUAAUGUUUAUCUUAGACAGAAAAUUGAAUGCAUAUAAGAAUAGGAGAUUAUAUUUAUCUUUUUUUUUUUUGGUCAAACAAGAAGAUUAUAUUAUAUUUAUCACUUUACAAAGUUUUGAUACAUGUCAAAAUGUAUUUAGAUUGGAAGGAGUAUGUUACAUCAAAUUACAAUAUGAAACCCUCCAAAUCUUAUGUAGAUAUGGGUAUUCUUUCCAUUUAAAAAUUGUAACUUUUUGUUUUGUAUAACUUAUAUCAUUAAAAUGAAGGCAGAGUCUUACUCUUACAGGACCCAAAUCUUAUGAAACACUCAAUUUUAACCAAGCAAUACUUCUACCAUCCAUCACUUGCCGAACCUAUCAGACAGUAGAUGGCUGAGAAAGCGCGUAUGUGACUAACCCUACUUAGUUACUUGUCGCUGUCAAGGACUAGUAGAGUGCAAUUUCAAAAUCAUUUAGUAAGAUGGUUUUUUUUUUCUGUUAUAAAGAAAAUUGCACGCUUCUCCACUCGAACCCGCGGGACUCGUCAUGCACUCAUGCUAUAUGUUGACACCAAACCACGAUGCCAAGCUCUUUUAUUAGAAUACGGACUAAGAUGUUAUGUACCAAUUUUCUCUCAGAAGCUCUUUGAUCAUUUUUUACACUGGUUCGGUUCAUUAGUCUCCGUUCAUAGCAAAUAACAUAUGAAGUGCUAUUAUUUCGAUUGUUUUAGUUUUACUUUCAGUUCCAACGUUUUGUUUCUUUUAGGUUUCAGUGUGUUGCACAGAGUUUUGCAUAAAACGCAUCUCUUUUUAUUCGUCCACAAUUCCACUGAAAUAAAGCAAAUGAGACUAGAAUUAAUAAUUUUCUAACGGAGGUAAGGAUUAAUCGUAUUGUUCAAUGAAUUUAUCGUCGCUUAGAAGUUCUUCCUAAGAUUACUACUAAUAUUUUCAAAGGAAAGGAUCUUGUUUGUUUAUGAGGAAAAUCUAACGAUUUUUUUAUCCUGUUAGUCUAUUACUAUAUCAAUUCAGAAGACCUAGUUUGUGGAAGAAAAAACAAUUAUAUGUUAAGGAUUUCUACAUGGAUGCAAAAAAAAAAAAAAAAAAAAAAAUCGAUUUUGAGAGGUAAAAUAGAUUUUUUUUUUCGGGAGAAGUAAAGAAAAACAAAAGUUUACUGCAUCUUAUCUAUUUAUUUAAUGCAAAGAAAAACAAAAGUUCUUUGCUUCGCAAUGAGGUAAAAUAGUAACACUAAAGCUCCGUCUCCUAUUCACAGGAACAGUUAAAAGUAAAAACCAAACAAAAAAUGGGAAUAAAGAAGAAAAUCUUCUUGGCUAGGCCAGGUUUUUAUUUAAGUAAUAAAUUUGCUUUGUCAAAAAAAAGAAGAAAAUACUUCAAAUACUUCCUAUACGAACGGUCAAGAUUUCUUGGUAUUGUAAUGUUAAAUCCUUCUCUCGUUUUUUUUUGUUGUCCUUUAAACCUUUCUUCAAAAGCAAGUUACCCUCUUUUGACACUUUACUCAUGUCUCUGUCCGAAUAACGGAAAGCUCUGUUUGCUUUUACAGAAAUUAUAUAUAUACGACCAAGUUUACACAGACACAAACCUGCCGUCUCGUUUCUUUCGGGAGAAGUAACCGAUAAAAUGGAUACUGAAAAGGGUUAUCCCAGAGGUUUCAGAGCAGACAGUCUACGACCAGAAACCGGCCGCAGAAGUUUUCAGUCAGAGAGUAUGCAACUCGAUGAAGCACACGAGCUACCACAAGGAGAUCAGAUACGACAAGAGAACUCGACCUAUCUCGUCCUCUUCAAGUCCAUAGACAGUGGAAACUUGGAAGCCACGAAAGAUUUCUUGGACCGAAACCCUGAGGCUUUAACCGCUAGCUUAACCUCCAACGGAGACAGACCAAUCCAUAAAGCCGUUUUGUCAGGUCACAUAAAUAUCGUGGAAGAGAUCAUUAGACGAAUCCACGAUCCAGAGCAAGUGUUGGAGAUCAAGAACGAUAAUGGUUACACGGCGCUUGCUUAUGCUGCCACUGGUGGGAUUGUGAGAAUCGCAGAGUGUUUGGUGAAUAAAUGUCCCAGCUCGGUUAGUGUUCGGAACGCAAAAGAGCAUAUACCGAUCGUGGUGGCUUCGUUGUAUGGUCACAAAGAUCUGGUUCGGUAUCUUUACAAUCACACACCUCUCAGUGAUCUUGAUCCUUGUGAUGAGUCAGAUGAACACAAGGGCAAGAACGGUGCGAUGCUAGUGACCAAUUGUAUUGUCGAUGGACUAUAUGGUAAGUUCCUAAUGAUGAUUAUAUGAUUAUAUAAUGUUCACAGGAUGUGGCUAAUGUGACGUAGAUAUAAAGGUAUUGCUUUGGAUCUGAUCCAGAGGUAUCCUAAGCUGGCUUAUACUCGAGACAGCGAUAACGAUACAGCGAUCAUAGCGCUCGCGCAAACGCCUUGUGCGUUCCCUAGCGGUAUCCAUCUUGCGUUUUGGCAACGCUGGGUAUAUUCUUGUGAGUUUACACUUAGCUUAUGCUUAUUAAGUGAAGACUACAUAUAUAUAAAAAAAUUUCUUUUUAUUAGGAAGUUUGGUUUUAUCAAUUAUUGAUUGUUAAAUUCAUGGUUUUCUCUUGAAGGUAUUCACAUAGAGAAGAUUACCAACCCAUAUGAAGUAAUGAAUCAUCAUCACCAUCAGUACAUGAAAUCAGAAGAUCAUAAUACAAUUUACGAGAAGUUGUUGAAAUACCUCAGUUUUUUUUGUAAGCAGCACAAAUCAUCUCGAAUCAUUAUCCCUAGUUGUUGAUUUAAUUUUAAUCAGUAUCAGAUGAAAUAUUUUAUCGACAGUUCCACACAUAAGACAAGUAUACAAACUAAAGCUAGGACAUGCUCAAGCCAAAGAGAUACUAGACUGUAUCUGCCAAGAGAUACCUAACUUUGACGCCACUCAACAGAAGAACGCGGGUCUAAACCAAGCUCUCUUCAAGGCGGUAGAGAAUGGUAUCGUCGAGUAUAUCGAGGAAGUGAUGAAGCAUUAUCCUGAUAUUGUAUGGUUCAAAGAUAGUUAUGGUCUUAACCUCUUUUUCUACGCGGUAAGUCAGAGACAGGAGAAGAUCUUUAGUCUCAUUUACAAAAUGGGUGCUAAGAAGAACAUCCUCGCUACAGCUUGGGACAAACUUCAUAACAAUAUGCUUCAUCACGCCGCAUAUCGGGCCCCAGCUUCACGGCUUAACCUCAUUCCCGGUGCUGCUCUUCAGAUGCAAAGGGAGUUACAAUGGUUUAAGGUGAUAUAUAGUUAUAUAUAUGAAUGUUUCUUGUUAAACAAGAAACUGCUUUGAUGCAACAGGAAACUAGGGUUGUAGAUAUAACUCUGUCUUGUUUUCAGGAAGUGGAGAGGCUAGUGCAACCGAAGCAUCGAAAAAUGAUUAACUUGAAGCAGAAGAAAACUCCAGCUGCUCUGUUUAAAGACCAACACAAGGAUCUGGUGGAUCAAGGAGAGAAAUGGAUGAAAGAAACAGCGACUUCUUGCACAGUAGUAGCGGCUCUAAUCACCACAAUGAUGUUCUCCUCUGCGUUUACCAUCCCCGCAAGUUACGACCACCAUUAUAAACUAUUCAUGAUCUUCAUCAUCUCGGACGCUAUCUCUCUCUUCACAUCAUGUAUGUCUCUGCUCAUGUUCCUCGGCAUUCUCAAGUCUCGUUACCGCGAAGAGGAUUUUCUUCGAUCGCUUCCGACCAAACUGAUCUUGGGUCUUGCGUCUUUGUUUCUCUCGAUGGCGACGAUGAUGGUGAGUUUUGUCGUGACGCUCAUGACCCUGUUUAGUGUUAAAACAAAAACAACGACGUGGGUUUCGGCUCAGUUUAUGUUGCUCGCGGUGAUUCCGGUGGGUAUGUUCGGUGUUCUUCAGUUUCCGGUGCUACUUGAGAUCUUCUGCUCCACUUAUUUCCCUAGAGUUUUUGAUAAGCCUCGCCAGUCUCGGCGAUUUUUUUAAGCUUUUCUCGAGAGAAUAAUAUUUAUCAUCGAAUAUUAAUAACUCUAGCCAAUCGUAUGGAGCACAGCCGCAGCUACUUUCAUCAUCGAGAUAUGAUCAGAAGGUUGCUUGACCCAGUUCUCUAUUCAUUUGAUACAAUUUCGAGUUUUUCUCUCCGAUCGACUAAUGAAGUUAGUGGGAUGAAAUAAAAAUGGGUGCUCUUGUUCUACUUGUUCGUUUGUACAAGUAGAAGUAUCAAAUGCUCUUGAAGAAUUACAAGACUUGCUUACAUAGGCAAUGCACCAAAAGUUUAAAACGAGUCUCAAUUCAAGAAAGUGGAAUAUAUUUAAGUGUUGGCUGGCCUAAGGAAAAUACCUACACACGGUCCUCUCUGUUCUAUCUUCGAUAUAUCCACAAAAAGAUUAAUCUAUUAACUUGUUUGUUCUUUCUUUUCUUUCCUAUGAUUUCUUUAGAAAUGCUUUAAUUAUAAUAAUACUAUUAGACCAGACCGUCUUGAUCGAGUUAACUGCUCAUGAUACAAACAUCACAAAUAGUGAUUAAAUGCAUUAUAAUUUUGAUUAGGCCAUGUUGAUCGAGUUAAUUGGUCAUACACACAGUGAUUUGAUCAAAAAUUAUAAUCUAGUGAGUUGUGCUAAUGUCAUCGUCUGGAAGUUCGACAACUGAUUUUUAGUAUUUUGAUCCCUUUCCUUUUUCUUUUAAGAAUUUUUUGAUCUUGGUUUUCAGAAAGCCCGUUGAUAGAAUUUUUAUUUGUAUAGUCUCUGAGAUAUUAAUAUUUUGAAGAGUCUUAUUUAUAGGUUACUCAUACAUGUGGGCUUUGUUCAAAGCCUAAUCCCGUUUGUUUCUGGAACAUCUCAUACCAUUCUCCACAAAUCCACUAUUUGUUUUUUCCUUUUUGCAUAAGCUGAGACUUUUUAAGUUUUAAGAGUGUAAAUAGUUACAAUUUUUAAUGUAAAAAAAACAAAAAAACAGAGUAUAUUUUAUCCUUGUUAUCUGUAUUUCUUAGUUUUAAAUUUAUCAGAGCUUGUUAUAUAAGAAGAAGACAUUUCCUGUAUGAUGUUAAAUGUUUUCCAUAGAAUGAUUUUUUUUUUUCUUCACAACUAGUAGAAAUCAAAACUAAAAAAUGCCACAGGUUGACAAAAAAAAAAAAAAAAAAAUGCCACAGAUUUGAGUAAAACUGGUCUUUACCUUGAAACAGACAUUUCUCCUUAGUGUAUGAAACAGACCACUACUAGUUUGGAUACAAAACAAGAAAUUGUCGUCCAAUAAGCCUAAAGAGAAAGUAAUAGCCAAUGAUCUUUACAUAAUGUUCAAGUUCUCAACAUGGUGUAGAUUGAUGCGAAGUCUAGUAAGAUAGCUUAUCGCCUCUGCUCCUUGGAUUUGAACUCUCCUGACAGUAUUAUGCACGAUGUUGUAGCAUAAGACGUAGAAAGGUUCGGUUUUGCUAUGAUAGGACAACAUGAUUUCAUCUGUUUCAGUCACUCCAACAAAGCAUAACAAGGCCCCUGCAACCAUAUUCUUCAACAAAGUGGGCACUAUGUAUACAUGCUUGGACCAUUGAUGUUGCUCAGCGUCUUGUAGAACCCACAACUCAAGAUUUAUCCUUUCGCCAGUAAAAUAUCCAUACCCAUCCGACGAAAGAGCACUCAAUUUACCCUUGUAAUCUACAAGAUGUGGAUGCUGAAAUUGUGAUACUUCCAUGUCCUCAGCUUUGUUGAUGAAACUAAACCUCUCAGACCUAACAUCAAAGCAAACAAUCCCAGGAACGCUUGGAGAAGCUUGAUCUUUCAUGUCAUGAUGAGCCUCAUUGACCAAAGCGUGAUAAUAGACACAACCAUUGAUGCAUAUCCCACCACUCCUUAUAGGAUAAUGGGGUAUGGAACAAUCGAUCAUCUUCCACGAAAGCUUCUUAGUCCCUAGUGUCAAGAUUUGGUGCUCGACACAGCUCUCUUUCUUAACAGAUGUCAUGGACAAAACCUUGAACUGAUUACCAAUCGGAUCAUACCCGAAGAAGGUUUUCACACCAAUCCUCCUCGUCUUCACUUUGGGCAAAGAUAAGGAUUGUCCCGUGGUCGCGUUACAUAUCACCGUCAUUGUAUUCUUCGUACUCGCGCUUACGACCUUCAGAUACGUGAGACAGACCAAACCGCCGCAAACCCCAGAGCAGUCAACGGGUAACACCAUGCGAUGAUUAGCGGCCGCAAGAAUCGAGUUCUCGUCUUGAUUUUGGAUCUCAGGUGCCGAGUAGAAGACAAAGUCUUGGUUUUUAUGGAAGGUGAACAAGAUUCGAGGGCGAGACGAUGAUCUGGUCAAGAACAAAUCCGUGAAACUUCGGCUGCGAAGCGUGAAAGCCCAGGACUUUGAUAAGCAGAGCCAUCUCGUGACAGACUUUGCCGGCGAUCUUGAGAGUAUCUCAAUGACGAGAUCGUUUGGGAUCCGGUCUAGGUUUUUGAUUCGUUUCGUUGAGGUACAAGAUUCUGUAUUGCUGCGUCGGGGAAUUGUUUCCAUUUUGAGAAUGAGAAGAAGAAAAGAGAUGAAGUGACAGAAGAGAGUGAGAAUAAGGAAAGAAGAGGUAGAAUAGGAGAGAUAGUUAAUGUGCUGUUCCAAAAAAAAAAGAGAGAGAUAGUUAAUGUAUUUUCAUUGCAUAAAAUCACAACUAUCUCAAGCACAAACAAUGAAAGCCUAAACCAAUACCACCACUUUCAAUCGAUUUCUUAUUCAAAUAGAUGUGGAUCGAAGCAAAUUAACCCCCAAUGCCAAAGUAACAAAAAAAAAUUAUCAAAAACAAAAUCCCCCAAUUCUUACAAAAAAACCCCAAUUCUUAGGGUUUAGAAAGCUUAUCUGCAGCGACGUCACCAAAGGUUGUCAGUUUUCCAACUAAUGUUGGAGAACCGCGACCAGUCGGAAAAUCCGUCAGAGAAGAAAGGAAGAAUUUUUCAUCGAUUUCGUCGAGAAGAUCCGAAAAGUCGAGGAAUAGAAAUGAUGGGGGAAUAGAUAAAGAGAGAAAAAAAAUGUUAUCUUCAAAUUUUUUAGCGAAUAAAAAGCUGACACGUAAGGGAAAAUACGUCUCAAAAAAUCUUCAAAUAAGAAACAUAUCUGAAAAUAAAAAAAUCGAUUACAAUUUUUUUAAUAUUAAAUUUCUAUAAAAAAUGCUGUUAGAUACAUGGUUAAUGAUGCUCUAAGCUAACCUUAAUGUUUGGGGCAGGGCAGCAUUAAAUACACUAUAGCUCGCAUUUAAACAACAUAAUUUCAAUAUUAAGACAAAACAUCCUAAGAGCAUCUAUGGGGAUGCUAAAUUUUUUAAAAAAAAUUAAGGAUCUCUUCUUGUUUUUCAUGUCCAUCCCUUAUACUCCGUUUUUUGCCCCAAGACGAGAUGUCCAUUUUUUGACCCAAUUUUUUCAUACCUCCCCCAAACCAAUAAAAGCCAUACAUGUGUUUACAAACCCAUUAACAACUGAUCCGUAUCUUAGAGCUAUAACAUAAAAUCUUUAAGGUUUUUAAUGGUUUUUUAAGCUAAGAUACCAUUAGAGUCUCUAGAAUUGAGAUGGUCUAAAGCUUGUUUAAAUAUAAACCCUCUCACUCACAAAGAGGUAUCAAACUCCCAAUGCUUAUCUCUUAGCCACUAUCUUCCUGCAAUACACCAAAGGAAAUGCCAGCUUAUAAAAAAUCCUAGAUUCUCUCGCCGGCGAACUACACUGGUGAUUUACUCGCCGUGACUUCUAAUCUAAUUAGUUUAGCCCAGAACUGAAAACUUUCUAAUACAGUAGUACUAAUUUAGUAUUUUUGUAACGAACCUUAAGAAAAAAAUAAAUAGCGACAACGCAAUAUAGUAUAGACAAAAUUUCAUUCUUAAGAGAAAAAUUCAAAUUAAUCAUUUGAAAAUAAAAAUAUUUGUUUGGCUAAAUAAAAAAAGAUGAUGAUAAAAUAAGUUUUAAGUCUGAAUAAAUCUUUAUUAUGUUUGCAUGAAAGUAACUAAAAGAUAAAUGAAGUACUGCAACUAUUUUAAAACGAAACCAAAGUGUCUAUUGACAAAAUUUGAGUUUAUAAUUGGAGGUACACAGAGGUCCUCAAAACAUGUAUUUCUCUACUCUUGUUGCAUUUUUUUUUAAUUUUCCUUUAUCCUCCUUCUCAUUGCUACUCAAAUGUAAUAUGUUGUAUAACGAUUGUUUAUAUAAUUUUAGAAGAAGGAAAAAAAUGAAGUAUCCUAUUCUUUUGGGUCAAACUUUUAUUUCAUUUACAUUUUUAUUCAUCUUUAAUCGAAGUGAACAGAUUCUUAGUAAGGAAAAUUCAGACUAAUACUAAAUACUUAAUACUAAAAAAAAAGAGUAUUAAUCAAAACUUAUACAGUCCCUAAAAAUUAAUCUACGUUUACAUUUGCUAUAAACUAGUAUUAAGUAUUGACCCCCUUAAACAAAUUAAAAACAUAAGCACAAAACACAAAACAUUUUAUAGUAUGAGAAUAUGAGAUGCUAUUGAAGAAUCACGACUUGCUUAUAAGGCAAUGCUCCAAAAGUAAAAAUCGAGUCUCAAUCCAAGAAUAUGGAAUAUAGUUGAGUGUUGGCUGGCCGAAGGAAAAUACCUACACGGUCCUCUCUGUUCUAUCUUCUAUAUGUGCCACAAAAAGAUUAAUCUAUUAACUUCUUUGUUUUUUUUUUUUCUUUCCUAUGAUUUCUUUAGAUAUGCUUUAAUAAUAAUAAUACUAUUAGCUAGACCAUACCGUCUUGAUCGAGUUAACUGCUCAUACGAACAUCACAAAUAGUAAUUAUAUGCAUUAUUAGGCCAUGUUUUGACUGAGUUAAAGUUUGACUAAUUUAAAUGCAGCGGUUGCGGUUACGAAUGCAGGAAUUUAAAGAAACGGGCGAUUGCAGUUUCGUGCGUCAUUUAACAGUUUGCACGACUGGUUUAACUGUUGAAAGCAGAUUCAUUUGUGAGAUAUUUUUGACUGACUAUUGAGGAGAUGUAUUAGCAGUUAAAUAUAAAAUUACAAAAAUAAAUAUAAUAUAUAAUUAUAAAAAACACAAAAAACUAUAUUAUUAUGCUAAUUAUCAAAAUCACUAUUUUAAAAUAACUAAUAAUAAAAAAUUAUAAAUAAAUACUAAAUAAUUUAAAAACUGAUAAAUUUUAUAAUAACAUAAAUUUUAUAAUAACAUGCCUAUUGCCUCACCAACUAGCUAAUCAGUCCAGUAAUGUAACAAACUAGAAAAAAUUAUUCCAAUAUAUGGCAGGAUUUAUCCCCAAUAGAUCUAAUUUCUCCAAAAUAUUAUGGUAUUUACAUUUGUGUUUCUACUUCCUUCGACUGGUAUAGAAGUCGUAAUUAUGGUACGAAAACUAAAACUUGAUAAAAAGUGAUAGAAUUAGGAAUUAUAUAUAUAUAUAUAUAUAUAGAUAAUACAGUAAAAUUGUAGUUUCAUAAAUUUUUUUAACAUGAUUUUUUUUCUAUGGCUGUUUUUUUAUCCACCUGUUAAUGUUCCCAAUCGCAAACGCUUGUGUGAAGCAGUUUUGGAUUUCAGUACUACAAAACAAUAUGGAGCAGUUUGAAGCAAUUUCUAUAAUUUUUAUAAAACACCACUAACCGUUCACCGCAAACGUAACGAACGAACCAAUCAACACGGUCAUACAAACAGUGAUUUGAUCAAAAAUUAUAAUCUAGUGAUUUGUGCUAAUGUCAUUGUCUGUAAGUUCGACAACUGAUUUUUAGAAUUUUGAUCCCUUUCCAUUUUCUUUUAAGAAUUUUUUGAUCUUGGUUUUAAGAAACAACUAUAAUGUAUUCUGGUUCUAGUUUUCAAUACUUAUUAUUGGAAUUUCACAAUGUUCAAACUAAUUCUUAGUUCCAGAAAAAAAAAAAACUAUUUGGUGAAAAUGUAGGCCAUUGGAAAGGAAAUAUGUACGACAUACGAAAUACCUUUGCUUUGCUUCCAAUACAAUGUCACAUGUGCGUAAAGAUUAAUACAGUAUAUGAACACAUAUGAAGAAACACAAUUUUAGUGAUUGAGAAAAUUAUGAUGGAUAUUCGAAUAAAAAUUGUGUUACUAUAUAAUAUCUUGAAUCAUACGUAGCGAUGGGUGCAAGGCUCCUAUCAGAAGCAUUCUUUGAGCUUUCAAGUCCCCACCUUCUCUUGUAUAUGUGUUCAGCUUUUCCAUCAGUCCUCUGAUCGACACAUGUCCCUCCCUGUCUUUGUCUUUCCAAGUGUUGAUGAUGAGGCUUAGAUGUUUAUUAAUUCAUGUAUUCAAUCUCGUACCAUUUUAUUUUUAUCUAUCAUUUUGUUAUUACUUCAUUUAAAUCAUAUACUUUUCCCUCACAUUUACGAUUAUCUUUAACUUUUAUUCUGAUUUUGAAUUAGGGCCGUUCAUACAUGUAAAACUAAGCGAAUAUAUAUUAUGAUUUUGAGUAAAAAGCUGGUGAACAAUAUGUAAUAAAAACAAACUUAGGCUAUUUAAUCUCUUUGACUCUGGAUCAAAUGCGUCAAAUGUAUCCACGGUGAAAUCUAGAGACGUGGCAGUCGACCCACAAAUAGAUAAUUUUUAUAUUCAUACUAAUAUGUUCCUUUUUGACCAAGUUCCUCUUUCACUUGUAAUUUUUCUUUUGCCAAUGACGACCAAGUUCCCGACAGCAUUAGAUUUUCCUUUCCAUCUAAGAUAUUCAAACAUUAUUCAUAAUCUGACAGAAUAUGAUUAAUAUGAACAUACUUUGAUUAAUCAAGAGGUAGUUGUUCCUAUACUAAUCUCAGUUAGUUAAACGAUAAAAUCAAGAUUAAUAUAUAAUGGGAUAACUCUUUUUUUUGACAAAGAGGAUAACUCAAUAAAUAAAUACAAAUUCACAACACUAAGAAGUUUGGUGGAAGCAGUUCUUGACAGGACCUCUGAACCUUGCAAGCCAUGAAUCAGUGUAUUAUUGUGUUAGCUGUCUUUCUGCGUUACCUUAUCUUCACCUUACUUUGCCACCAAGGUUUAACUACACGUUAUAUAUCUUUUUUAGAAUUAUCGAUUAAUUUCUGAUUGUUAAAUAGUAGCGGUCGCUUUGUUAUUAAAAUACGUCACUAAUAUAUCUGGUUAUGUUCCAAAAUACCCAAAACCAGAAAGUUUUUAAAUUUGAAUAACUGGUUAAUUCUAUUGCUAAAAAGUAUGGGUGUAAAUAAAGAAAAGAGUCCUUGGUGUAUUAUAGUUUAUUUUAAAAUGGUUAAAUCUUGAUUUUUUAAAACCAUUUAUAUUUUUGAAAAUAAAUUAUGGUUGUCUCACAAAGAAAUUAUUAAAUAUUGCUGGAAGAUAUCAGUCCUAAGAAAGCUACAAAACUCAGAAUGGAGUUUAAAACUAAAGCGUGCAAAAUUAUCCAUAAUGGAAAAUCAUGUUUUUAAAUACUUUAUUAAUUAGCCUGAUACAAUAUAAUCUUCAUGUAACAACAUACAUAGUACUCCAAUAUGGUUAAAAUUAAAACUGUAUUAAUAUACAUUUUCUUGAAACAACUUUGAUCAGUGCAUCUUGGACUUUUUUGAAAAUCAUGUUAUAUACAAACUUUUAAACAUCUUAGUGAAAUCAUGACAAAAUUAAAGAAUAAAUUAAAAAAAAAAAUAUAGCAGAAAAGGUGGGUGUGCAAAAUACAUAUCUAUUAUUUCCAAAAACACAAAAAUAGAAACAAAGGUAGUAUGAUAUAAGAAGAUUAAAAGAGACGUUAUGUCUCAUCUAUAUUGCUCUCUCUUCUCUCUUGUCCAAUUCUAGUGUCUAAAUCCACCAGUUUUAUAUGGCUAACUCUCCCGCCGCUGCUGCAGCCACCGCUGCAACCGGAGACUCUCGGCGCCGCCUCUCCGCUUCCAUGUAAGUACAUACUACUCUCUCAUUUAUCCAUAAAUGAGUCAAAAUUAGAUAAUCGUCUAAAGUUUUUGUGUGUUUCUGUUUUUUUAACUUUUAAGCAGUGAAGCAAUAUGCAAGAGGAGAUUCCGGAGAAACAGUAAAGGCGGUGGCAGAUCGGAUAUGGUGAAACCUUUUAAUUUCAUAAAUUUUCCGACACAAGACAAAAACAAUAGUUGUUGUUGUUGCAGCAAGUUUCAGAUCGUGAAGAUUCUCUUAUUUAUCUUUCUAUCUGCUACUCUCUUCACCAUCAUCUAUUCUCCUGAAGCUUAUCGUCAUUCUCUUUCCCACUCUUCUUCUCGGUAAAUCUUUUUUCUUUCUUUCUUUUUAGCAAACCCUUUAUUAAAAAAAAAAAAAAAAUCAUCGCCAAAAUUAACAAUCUUGACCUCAAAUUGUUCAAAUGCUAAUGAAUUGCGUUAGCUUACAAUAAUUUUCUUGAAAAAUAAAUUUCCACUUUUCAUCAUUUCUUCCGUUAGUUAUCCAAGUUAUAGCGAAUAGAAUUUUAUUCUAACAAAAUACUAAAAGUGUUGAUAUAUGUAAUACGACCACAUGUGGAAACUAGGUGGAUAUGGAGACGACAAGAUUCAAGAUAUGUCUCUGACCUAGACAUUAAUUGGGACGAUGUGACCAAAACCCUCGAGAGCGUCGAAGAAGGCCGUACGAUCGGUGUCUUGAAUUUCGACUCGAAAGAGAUUCGACGGUGGAGAGAGGUAGCCAAGACUAAGGACAAUGAGGAUGAGGAAAACGUCGUCGUAUUGGAUCUGGACUACGCAGAGAAGAACGUGACUUGGGACGCACUCUAUCCAGAGUGGAUCGAUGAGGAGCAAGAAACAGAGGUCCCUGUUUGUCCAAAUCUCCCGAAGAUCAAAGUACCUACAAGAAGACUCGAUCUGAUCGUCGUGAAGCUUCCUUGUCGUAAAGAAGGGAAUUGGUCGAGAGACGUCGGGAGAUUGCAUCUGCAGAUGGCGGCUGCAACGGUAGCCGCUUCGGCCAAAGGGUUUUUCAGAGGACACGUUUUGUUUGUCUCUAGAUGCUUCCCGAUUCCGAAUAUGUUUCGGUGUAAGGAUCUUGUGUCUCGGAGAGGUGACGUUUGGUUAUAUAAACCUAAUCUUGAUACUUUGAGAGAUAAGCUUCAGCUUCCUUUAGGUUCUUGUGAGCUCUCUCUUCCUCUCGGCAUCAAAGGUAAGAAAAAAAAAACCCGGAAUUACUUUAGGUUCUUGUGAGCUCUCUCUUAAAAGUUUAUGUUUUCUUCCAUGGAUUUAAUAGAGAGACCAAGCUUAGGAAACCCUAGAAGAGAAGCUUACGCAACAAUUCUUCAUUCCGCUCAUGUUUAUGUCUGUGGAGCAAUUGCGGCAGCUCAGAGCAUAAGACAGUCCGGUUCGACGAGAGACCUCGUGAUCCUCGUAGACGACAACAUAAGCGGUUAUCACCGUAGUGGACUAGAAGCAGCGGGUUGGCAAAUCCGGACGAUACAGAGGAUACGAAACCCUAAAGCAGAGAAAGAUGCUUACAACGAGUGGAAUUACAGCAAAUUCCGACUAUGGCAACUCACUGAUUACGACAAAAUAAUAUUCAUCGACGCAGACCUCUUGAUUUUAAGAAACAUCGACUUCUUGUUCUCAAUGCCUGAGAUCUCAGCGACAGGGAACAAUGGAACUCUGUUUAACUCAGGAGUUAUGGUGAUCGAGCCUUGCAACUGCACGUUUCAGCUUCUCAUGGAGCAUAUAAACGAGAUUGAGUCGUAUAACGGUGGAGAUCAAGGUUACUUAAACGAGGUCUUCACAUGGUGGCAUCGGAUUCCGAAACAUAUGAAUUUCUUGAAGCAUUUUUGGGUUGGAGAUGAAGAUGACGUGAGACGCAAGAAAACAGAGCUGUUUGGAGCAGAGCCUCCGAUUCUUUAUGUUCUUCAUUACCUGGGGAUGAAGCCUUGGCUAUGUUACCGUGACUAUGACUGUAACUUCAACUCCGACAUAUUCGUUGAGUUUGCGACAGAUAUUGCUCACCGACGAUGGUGGAUGGUUCACGACGCCAUGCCACAGGUAAUAUGAUACAUCACACGACCACAUCUUUGUCUUAAACCCUAAUUUCACUCAUAAACACAUACAACUUUCCUAGACUUUAAGCGACCUUUAGCAUUUAGAUAGAUAAAUUUCCCCAAAAAAAUUAAGAGAAAAAAAAAACAAUAAUACACGGAAUUUUGGCAUUUUGCAUACUUUAAUGAUGAUGCAUAUAUACGAGUAGUAGAUGAUGGAAUAUUAAAACAACAGAAACAUUUGAGCUGAAAUAUUCUCAGCUGAAAAUCAAAAAUUAAAAAAAUCUAACUCGUGUAAGAUUAGUGACCCUUUUUUUUGUUUUGUUAUUAAUCUUAGUUGUUACAUUUUUGACAUAACAAAUAAAAAAAUUGAAAACUCGAUGUGUGAUGAUAAUUCUGCAGGAGCUUCAUCAAUUCUGUUACUUGCGAUCAAAGCAAAAGGCACAGCUUGAAUAUGAUCGCCGGCAAGCCGAGGCGGCCAAUUAUGAGGACGGUCACUGGAAGAUAAGAGUAAAGGACCCGAGACUCAAGAUUUGCAUCGAUAAAUUGUGUAAUUGGAAAAGCAUGUUGCGUCAUUGGGGCGAAUCAAAUUGGACCGACUACGAGUCUUUUGUACCGACCCCUCCGGCCAUCACCGCCGUCCGGAGAUCCUCGAUUCCUGGCAAUAACUUGUGACGCCAUACAUAUACAUACAUAUCAAUAAAUUUGUUGAGUUUUUUUUUUCUGCGAUAUUAGGUAAAUGUCAGAUGUAUAACUAAAAUUUUCCCAUACUUUUUUUUAUUCAAUUGGAAUAAAAUGUUUUUUUUUUGCCGUUUAACAAUAUGAUGAACGUACGUACAUGUCGUAUUUUUUAUUUUUUUUUGGAAACGAUAGGUACAUGUAUUUACACCUUUCUAUGUUAUUAUUUGAUUAUUUAUAUAUAUAAAAAGAAAUCAAUUAUAAAGUUAAUUUUAAAUUCGAAGCAAAAAGAUAUUAACAAUGUUAGCAAUGUAAAUUACAUUCAAUUCACCAAAAAAAAAAAUGUAAAUUACAUUCUGCAGUUUUGAAGUAUAUAUGCAUACAUACUAUGUGUAAAGAUUUCCUUAUUAUUUAGCCAAAACAGAUACACCGUCGUUUAGCAUCGAAAUUUAAGUAAAAAUGGUAAAUCAUACAAAGAAAAGGAAACCGAAUCUUACAGCUAUGAUGAGCAUUAAUGACUGAGAUAGUAAGUGAGGGUACCAAAAUUAGAAAUACUCGAAUCAAGCUUUUCUAUAUAUUCGGAAAUAAAUAAACAUUGAGCACACAACUCUUCAUUCAAUUCACAAUAAUCACAGAAACAAACACAUAACGAUGGCUUCUUCUUCUUCGUCUUCUUUUUCUCAUUCGUCUUCGUCACCGACGAACAAGAAAACAACUAAAUUCUCCAAAAUUCAACAAACCCUCUUCCAGAAACCUUCUUCUUCGAAAGCUACGAGCUUAGCUAAAAGACAAGAGACUGUCUUCAAGAAAGCUUACGAGCUUUCAACUCUCUGUGGAACCGACGUCUGCGUCAUCAGUUACGGAUUAGACGGAGAGCUUAAAACAUGGCCUGAAGACAGAAAGAAGGUCGAAGCCAUGGCUCGAAGUUACAAAUCUUUAGAUAUUAAGAAGCGACUCAAAGGACAAGUUGAUCUUCGCCAGUUUCUCAAGAAGAUCAACAAGGGUGAUUCCAAUACGAAAAAGAAGAAGAAAGUGGCGUCUGGAUCCAGUGACAAGUAUCCAGAUUGGGAUCCGAGGUUUAAUAAUUACUCUGUAGAGCAACUCACGCUGCUGAUUCAGUCCUUGGAACGUAGUCUAACCACAAUGCAACAUAGGCUUCGAGCUCUUGCUGAGUCUCAGAAACAGAGGCAGAAUAUGCACAACACGAACAUGGCUCAUCAAGAACAGAUGAUUACUACUACUACUGCUGCACUGAAUCAUCUUCACCAACAUUCAAACCAGGUUCCAAUGGAUCUGUUUAACCAAGCAAUGUACGGUGCUUCAUCGCAAAUCCCACCCUCUGCAUCAUCUUUCAACCAAGCGCAAUCUCUGGCUCCGAUUCCGAAUUCACUGACGAUAUACCAGAAUCCACUGACGAUGUAUCCGAAUUUGAAUGUUGAAAGUUACUUACGUGGGUUACAAGGAACUGGAAUGAGUGAGUUUCCGAGCAAGAACAUGUUACCCUACAACAACAUCAACAACAACAACAACAACAGUGUUAAUGGUUUUCCAAAACAGUUUUAUCAGAAUGGCAAAGUGGAAGAUUACUCUGGCUAUCUUGGGUUACAAGAAACUGGGAUCAACAACAUGAAUGAUUAUCCCGGUUUACUCUGGGCGCAAGGAAUUGGGAUUAACGGGUUGCAGAACAUGGACAUGUACGGCUACAACAACAGCAACAUUAACACCAAUGGUCUUUCCAAUCAGCUUGUUCAAUUUCCGACACAAAGAGCCGAGCCCGUUUUUCAAUAUGGAUCGAUCAACCCAAAAUUUUAGAUCUCUAUGAGAUUUGAUCUCUCAUCACAUUGUCUCUUAUAACUUAGAAACAUAUUCAUAUAUAUAUUUUGGUUGAUGCAUUUAUUAGUUUGAUCAAUGUCUGUGUUUUUCAGUUAUGUCCGAUUAUUCGCUAUAUGCAUUGUGACUAUUACGUGAUUUUGUUUUUUUUUUGUCUAUUGAUAACUGUCUCCAUUUUUUGUUUUUGAUAAAGAAUUAAUAAAUGUCUCCAUGAGUGACUCUUUUCCUCUUUUGCUAUGCUGAGAAUUUCGAUUAUUAUUAAUGGCAAGCUUUUGUUUUUAAUGGCAAACUUUGAAGUUAAAAAUACAAAAAAAAAUCAGUGAUCUCUCUCUAAUCAUUGGUUGCAUACUUGCAUAUAAAAGGGAAAAAGGGGGAAAAAAAAAUCAAAUGAAAAAUGGAAAAAAAGAACAAAAGAUCCAAACUGGUUCCGACUUCCGAGCUAGCUAGCAAUAAAGUGUUGCUGUUCGGCUUAUUUUAGAAGUAUCCAACGGCUGAGAUUAAUAGAAUUUAAAUCAACGGUUAGAUUCACCGAAGAGCAUAUUACAUUCAGAGUGGGACCGGACCCACAAUCACACAUAGUAGCAAAAUCCCAACCAGGCAUUUGGAUCUAAGGUUCGGGUUCGGAUCGGUUAUUCGGUUCUCAGGUAUCCGAAUAGUGAGAAGAUUGGACCCGGAUAUGACCCGAAAAAAAUUUGAUUCGGUUCGAGUCUUCUUAGAUUUGAGUCGGUUUUAUGAUUUUUAACUGAAACCAUAAUGAAACCAAAAAUACUAUUCGGAUCGGCUUUAAUCUCGAAUUUUCCGAAUUACUCAAGAAAUAAGAUAUUUGAUACGGAUUAUAUAAAAAUGGAUCCAAAUAACUCAAUUUACCCGAUAAAAUCCGAAUUAUCUAAGUAUAUAUAUGUAUAUGUGAUAUAUAUAAUAUGAUAUAUCUGUAAUUUUUCGGGUACGUGAUCGAGUUUUGAGUUAAACCUGAAUCAACCCAAAAAUCAAAUUAGAUUUACACAAAAAUCGUUCGGUUUUUGCAGCUAAACCGAAUCUGACCCGAACCCGGUUUUUCGGGUCGGGUUGCUCUGGUUCGGUUUAUAUGCCAAGGCCAAAUCUCAGCGAAGAAAUUGUAAGAUUUGUCGUCGGAGGCUAAAAAACAAAAGACCUAGAACUUGGAAAGUCGAAGAAGAACCAGAGUUAAACUCUUUGUCGGUCUUCUUCUAUCGUACAUCCGACCAGAUUCUUACUCGUCUGGAAACCCUAGAAACAAAGAAGCUUCACUCGUGAUUCGCGUACGGCGACUUGUCAAUGAGAGAGGUUUGUCUCUCUCUGUUGGUGAUGGCAAGCUCUAUUCGAAUUCAAGUGAGUUAGUUAGUUAAUGUUCGAGAUAUUUGUCGCUCCUCCAAGUAGGUUCAAUUUAGACUGUUUUUUUUUUGUUUUUUGUUUUUCCAUUCGCAUUAGCUUUCUUUUCAAUUUAGGUUCUAUUUGGUACCAAUUUCAUAUUCGGGUCAAUUCGUCUACUUCCACGAUUGGUGCUUCUUCACUUACUUAGUAGUUGAAUUCAAUCUUUUCAAUUGAAAGACAAGAUUUUUCCUCUAGGAUUCUGAGUUUAACGGACUCGCAUAACAUUAAAAGGUUGAAGAUUUCGUGGGUUCUCUUUUCUGUGAAUGAAUGGUUUCAUUAUUAGAGAUCUAUACUAUGAGGCUAUGACAAAGUAAGUCAAUGGUGCUUUAAGCAGCUUAAUACAACACCAGAAAUUUCCACUUAAGAGGAGGUUUUUUAAAUUUAGUCAUACCUAUUCCUUUACUUCAUUACUUACUUUCCUCUCUUUAUGAACAUUUUUGUUAUCUGCAGAUUACCUGUUGAUUCUUGGUGCUAUUAGUUUGUGAGCCUUAGGGGUGAAAAAUGAGUGGCUCGGGAAGAAAACAUGUUUCAAAAUGGGACUCUAAAGAAGACACACAUCAUCAUCAUCAUCAUCAUCAUUCUAGCGUGAAUGCAAAUUCAGGUUCUUAUUACCGCGACAAGGAGCCCGAGCCUGUCCUGUUCAACGGAGAGAGUAACGGUAGUAGGAGGUCUGCUGCUGCAGACGAUCAGCACUCGAGCGAAGCUAGGAGUAGAAGCAGAGCUGCGCAGAAUAACGAUAACAGCUAUUAUUCUGAACAAGAUGAAACUAGGCAGCAGUUUUUCAAUAGGUUAGUGUUUGAGAGUUGUUUCAGUAAGUAAAAAAAAAGUAGACUGCUCUUUUCUUCUAAGUCUCUCUUUCUCUUUCCUUUUUCUUUUCCAGGAGUGGUAGUAGAAGUUAUAGCAGAAGUAGAAGCCGUAGCAGAAGCCCAGUCUAUAGAGCAAGGCGAGAUGCAGGAUCUUAUGAUAGACACAAGUCCAGGACACGAGACUCGUCUCUGUCAAGCAGGGAAUUCAAUAAGAGAGGCGGUGGUCAAAGCAGGAUGACAUAUCAGGCUGAUGAUUUCAGAGAAAAUGCAAUGAUGAAAGGUGCUAGGUCGUCUGGCUAUGAUACUGAUUUUCCAGAGGAUAGUUCAAGAAGGGAGCAUUUACAUGAUGGCGUCUCAGAUCCGAGAUUGAGAAGGCACAGAAGCGAGUUAACGGGAGAGAAAGAAACGCAAAGAAGGGAUGUUGUUGAUGGUGAGGGAGUAUUCCACAGGAGUUCGAAUAUUCCGUGCAAGUUUUUCGCUGCAGGGUUCUGUCGUAAUGGCAAGCAUUGCAGGUUCUCUCAUCAUGGUGGUGAUAGAAAGCAGCCUCAAGAAAGCAACUUUUAUAGAGAGGACAAUAGAAAUCAUAGUAGAUGGAAUGAUGUUGAGAGAUUGAAUAAUGGGAAACUCGGUGGGAUCGAAGUUUCUCGUGCCAGUAAAGGAAUCUCUGAAGCUAAAGGCAACGGUAGUAGCUGGAUUGAUGGUAUGGAGAUGUCUCCAGAUUGGAAUUAUGGUGUGAAAAACCCCAUGAAGAAGGAAGAGUCUGGUGUUGGCAUUAUUGGUCAGAGUUCACAAUCUCGAGAUCUCAAAGAUGAUCAGAGGAGUAGUGAUGUGUUUUCAUAUGGUGACAAACCCAUGGUUGAGAAACCGGUGAACAUGGCUGCUCCUCCCGUUCAAGCUUUCAGUCAGAAUCAUAAUGUGUUGCCUUACCAAAACUCACAAACCGCUGGAGGAAGUCAACAAGUGAUAGCUGCUGCUGCUGCAGAUUUCUCACUAGGCUCGAACUUGAGCAACCCUGAGAGUAGAAUGGUUUAUGAAGAUAAUCAUCACUCAACUGUGGAGAAACCUGUUCCGGUCCAAAAUGACGUGACGAGAGAACAGAUGGAUAAGAUUAGCAACAUCUCAGCAUCUAUAGCGCAGUUUUUUGCUAAUGGACAGCCCAUUCCACAGCAGCUUACACAGGUUUUGCAGAUGCCCUUGCACUCAGAAUCUUCCAUGGCUGUUCAACCAAACCUGGCUACUACUACGCAAAGUAACUCCGUGAGUAAUAAUCCCAAUCUGCUAUGGGGACUUGGGAUGAGCACUGGCCCCCAAGGAGUUUCAACGGUUGCUGCGUCACAGGUAAACGAUGUUGAUGGGACUCGGGAGCUAGCGCUAAAUCCCAAGGCUUCUGAGGAAAACGGAGAGAAAAAGACUGAUGAAGCUAGCAAAGAAGGAGAGGGUAAGAAAACUGGAGAAGACACCAAAGAUGCUGAGAACGUGGUAGAUGAAGACGAAGAUGACGGUGAUGGGAGCGACGAAGAGGACAAGAAAGGGAAAGACCCGAAAGGGAUGCGUGCGUUUAAGUUUGCGCUUGUUGAGAUUGUUAAGGAGCUAUUGAAACCAGCUUGGAAAGAAGGUAAAAUGAACAAAGAUGGUUACAAGAACAUUGUGAAGAAAGUAGUUGAGAAAGUGACUGGUACCAUGCAAAGUGGAAACGUCCCUCAAACUCAGGAGAAGAUUGACCAUUAUCUAUCUGCUUCAAAACCAAAGCUUACCAAGCUUGUGCAGGUGCCUUUAUAGAUAAACCUUUAUCUUCUACUUUCCAAAACUAUAAAUCAACCAUGUUUCUAACCCUUGUUUUGUUUGUGUCAUCUAUUCCAGGCAUAUAUCAGCAAAUUCAAGAAGGCGGAUUGAUGUUUUUGUAAUAUGUUUAUCCACGCUAUGCGCGGAUUGUUAGAUUAAAUUUUAUAAAUGUAUAAUUUUAAAGAUUUUUUAGAGAAAACUUGUUUUUAGCAUAAUUUUUGGCUUGAAGCUUUGAGAAUUGAGUGUUUCAGUUUGGAGAGUUUUUUAACUUAUUUGAUUAUAUAUCCUAAUAUAAUAAAAAUUAUUAAUAAAUUGUAUACUUUUGCAAUCAUCUACUUUGACAUAACUUAUUUUAUACAAACUUGAUAAUUAAGUUUUAAUAAUUCUCAGUGCAUUGAGCAAUAAAUAAAAAAUUAUUAAAUGGAAUAUGUAAGUGUGAGUGUUAAUAUAUUUUAUGAGAGGAAAAAAAAUUGCUCAUCUAUCCUAUUAUACAAAGAAAAAUGAUUUAGGGAAAAAUUGCUCAUCUACAUCUUUAUUUUAUUAUACAGAAGGGAUUGUUAGAUAAAAUUUUUUAAUGUAUAAUUUUAAAGAAUUUUUAGGGGAAACUUGUUUUUAGCAUAAUUUAGCAGAUUGUUCUUAAAUAGAUGCAGCAGCAAAUUGAUUGGUCUCUUAACCGGUUUAAACCGACCUGUACCGUCGCUCCCGCCAUUUUAACUCUUCUCUGAAUUUUUUUUCAGGGAAUAACUAAAAAUUGGGAAUUUGGUGAGAAUUAAAAAAAGCUCGGAAUCUCUUCUUCGCAGUGAAUUGAUUUCUGAGACGGAAAUGGCUUCGUCAACAUCCAAAACCCUAAUGGAUUUUUUUCAACCCGCCAAACGCCUCAAAGCUUCCUCGUCUUCUUCCUCUUUUCCCGCCGUUUCCGCCGCCGGUGGGUCACGCGAUCUGGGUUCGGCAGCUAAAUCGCCGCCUCGCAUUACAGUUAACAAUUCCGUCGCCGACGAUUCGUCUGGCCUCACACCCGAACAAAUCUCUCGCUCCGAGUUCAAUAAAUUCGUUGCCAAAUCCAAGCGCAACCUCGCCGUCUGCACCGAGAAGGUCACAAAAGCGAAAGGUUUGAUUUUUUUUUUCUUUUGCUGAUUUACUGUCCCCUUGAGUAUCCGUGAACUGGGAAAUGAGAGACCUUUUCUAGGGUUUAGCGAAUCUGAUUGAUUUUGGGAUGGAAAUUGCAGCUAAAGGAAGCUGCUACGUGCCGUUGAGUGAGCUCUUAGUGGAAGAAUCAUGGGUUAAGGCUAUUCCUGGAGAAUUGCAUAAACCCUACGCUCAAAACCUUUCUGAUUUCCUUGAACGUGAGAUCAUCGCUGACUGUAAAGGCCCUCCCAUUUAUCCGCCUCAGCACUUGGUUUUCAAUGCCCUCAACACAACUCCUUUUGAUCGUGUCAAGGCUGUCAUUAUCGGACAGGUACAUCAUUUGGAAUGUACUUCUGUAUUCCUCGAUGAGAUUCAUUUUGUGCUUUAACGAGUUUUCCUCUGUUUUGAGUAGGAUCCUUACCAUGGACCCGGUCAAGCUAUGGGUUUGUCCUUCUCUGUGCCUGAAGGAGAGAAGCUUCCUUCUAGCCUUUUGAACAUAUUUAAGGAGCUUCAGAAAGAUGUUGGCUGUUCAAUCCCACGUCAUGGUAAUCUACAGAAAUGGGCUGUGCAGGUAACUGGAGUUUCUUUGUGCUCUCUCCACUUGUUUGUUCCAUCAAUUGUCAGUUAGUUAACUUGGAGAGAUUUUAACUUUUGAGUUUUCUUUUUAGGGUGUUUUGCUGCUAAAUGCUGUUCUUACAGGUAAAGUUUGUUAUCGCAUCAUGGCCUUGUAAGUAUAAAAACUUUUAAAAAUUCUGGAAUUUCUUCUCACACACAUGUCGGUUAUCUUGCCUUGAAAUCCAGUAAGGAGCAAACAGCCGAAUUCACAUGCAAAGAAAGGGUGGGAACAAUUCACUGAUGCUGUUAUUCAAAGUAUCUCACAGCAGAAGGAAGGUGUGGUCUUUCUCCUCUGGGGAAGAUACGCUCAAGAGAAAUCCAAGUAGGUUUUUGGUUUUACGACUAGAAUUCCAUUUUCGACCUCCAAAACAUCAGUACCAGUUAAACUUGUAAAUUUAUUACGCUUAUGUAUUAUUUUCAUUGUUUAUCUUGUAUGAGGGUAUAAGCUUUUCUAUGAUUAUUGCAGGUUGAUCGAUGGGAAUAAACAUCAUAUACUCACAGCAGCUCAUCCAUCUGGUUUAUCGGCGCACAGAGGCUUCUUUAACUGCAGGUUAGGUCUAGUCCACUGCCAUAAUCUGCGCAUUGUGCUUAUGUUGUCCCAAUUCAUAAUUUAACCAUGAGUGUUCCACCUUUGAACAGGCAUUUCUCUCGAGUAAACCAGCUACUCGGGCAAAUGGGGAUUCCACCCAUAGACUGGCAACUUUAACCUCUUAACCGUAAUGUUAAAGCCAAGACGAACUAUGAGUGCUCUUGGGAAGCCUACCAUUUUCCAUCAAUCCCUUUUGGUGAACAGAGCUUGAAGAUUUAACAGUUAUAUAAUGCUCCUCUUUUGUGAAUUACUAUGUUAUCACAAAAUGUUAGACGACUAGCAUAGGUUGUGUCUUCAUUUUGUAGUCUUUGAAGAAUGUUGUGUAUUAUAUAUUAGUGCUGCUUAGUUAUAGAACUUCCAUGUUGCAACAAAGUAUGAAGAAGUUAAAAGUAUGGAUGGUUGAAUAUGUUAAAAGUAUGGAGAAAUGCAUGAAAGAUAUUUGUGCAACCCCAUAUACUGUUAUUCUCGAGUUCAAGGCAUUUCGGGGAAAGAAAUUUACAAUCUUGAAACAAAAUUUACUAUAUUCUAUGAUCAUAAAUUUUCACAAACGAGAUACAAACUUUGCUAAUCUCCAUUACCUGUAAGCUCCAAGUAUGAUUAAUGUUUCUGAAUAACCAAAACAAGCUCCUAAUGUUGCAGGAGGAAAUAGAACGAACGUAUUGACUUUACCAUUCUCUUCUUCUUCUCAUGUCUUAUGUUUUUUCCUCAAGUUCCUUAUAGUUGGCAAGUGCCUUUCAAUUGAAUAUGGACACCCAAAAAACGUCAAAAGAUUCAUGCAGCUCUUUUCACCAUCUUCCUCACUUCCUUGAGAUCUUAAAUGGCUUAAGUAAGUCUUGCCUUCAUAAAUAUAGCUAAGCUGUUGCCACAGCAAAACACUUAACCCAAUCGCCACGGAAACACUCGCCACAAAGAGGUAGACUAGAACAAGGCCUCGAACAGAUAUGAAGAUAGCGUUGGCUAUGUAAGCAAGCACGAUAUUCUUCACAACUCUCAUAACUGAUAAACUAUUAGCAUGUGCCACAUCGGAUGCAUACGCUGCUCCAUUUUCCAGAGGUGGCAAAAUAUGAAUCAAGGUAUACACACACAUAGCAGAAGCGUAGAUUGUGCUUAUGACGGCCGAGAUAAGGAAGGCAAUGAAGUUUUUGUGAUUACCCGCACCAACACAGUUCCCAAUCUGCAAAUACAACACAAGAAGAGUCAUUAACCUUAAGCUCAUAAACAGUACGUAAGGACACAAGUUAAGGUAUUGAUAACCAAGUAUCGUAACCAGGUACUCUAUGAUUGAGGAAUACCAAAGGAAGUAUGAAAUAGUUUGCAAUGAUAAACCUGGUACAAGUCUGUAACUUCUCUAAAAUGCCAAACUCGAAACCCAUUCUAUAUUGAAGUCUUUCGAAGAAAUAUAUGUGAAGUUGGUAUUGGCAAUGAGACUUACAAAGGGACAAUGAUGAUCCAUGUCCAGGACACACAUGCCACAUGUGCGACAGUGAUGGGUUCUAGGUGACUUUGGUUUGGAGCAGUAGUGACAAAAGGUAUAGUUGUUAAGUGCACCAUUCCCUACUCCAGGGUGGGUUCCAUAAAGAAUAUCUGUUGGUUUCCCAGCGCAUUUAAAAGCAACAAGUAUGAACGUUGAUAAUGUUGAUAUCGCCAGAGACACUGUUGUGAGAGAAUGGAAAAUCCCGCAAGCCAAGCUGAUCGAAAACACGACUGGAUACGCAGCCCAAAUCCCACCACCUGCAAGUUUAUUUUCCAAAAGAGUAUAUUUCAACAGGAAAUUGGCAAUUAUCAUUUCUAAAUUUUUGUUAUUCUUGGAUAAUUUAGAGGUGCUUACAUAUCACAAAGAGCAUGAAAACAGCGAGGAUAACGACAAAACACCGGUCACGGAAACGUCUCAAACCAAAUCUUUUGGUUUCAAGUCUGACUGGAUUCUGAUUCGUGAUUGCACCACACCAACCACACUUGAAAACAGGUGCGUAUGAUGGAAGAACAAGGUUUAGUCCACAGCCCCAGCAAAUUGCUUCAUAAUCCUCAUUUAUGGUUGUCACAAAACUCCCCUAGAGUACAAAAAAAUGAAAAGCAAAAGUUCUAUCUUAGAGAACAGUACCACUAUGCAAGGGUCCCUCUAUUUUGAUGAAAACUGAAUUGUGAUUUGGUGAAAAUUUGCGUUCUUCGUGCAUUUUUCCAAUCAUAUAAUCUGCAACUAAAUUACAAGACCCUAUAGACAUUCAUAAGUUUUUCAAAAAAUCCACACUGUAAGCAGGUUUAUAUUCCUAAUUCGGUAAAACAAGCAAACACGUUUUUUGAAACUAGCCAAAAUUUCCAAGAUUUUAUUAUUCACACACACUCAGGCAUCAGAGGAUGAAAUACUUCAAGAAAAUUCAGUGAAGAUAGUCAGAGAGAGAGAAGGAUCCACUAACCUGGGAAGACUCUUCCAUAUCUCAGCUUUAUCGGAUACGAAACCAAAAAACAAGGUUUCUUCAGAAAUCGCAGAAGAUUGAUGAGAGUUAAGAACCAAGAACACAAAAAAAUCCAAAAAUCUAUUCUCUAUUGAAAUCGCAAAAUUCAAACAAAACCCAAAAUCGAGACUUUGGACGAAUUUCACAAUCAAGACUUCAUCCCUCUCUCUAUGUAUAUCAAAAACACUAAACCGAAGAAAAUCCCAUCAAUCAUCUGCUAAUCAAAUGGUAAUCAAUGAAGCAAACAGAACAGCCACGUUUCCGCUGAUUUGUCAGUCAGAAUAUUCGAAAUCUCUAAUCUUGGGUGAAGGGUCCAACGUUGUUGAUUCGCAGAAACACAAGUAUCAGCUCCCUUGAAGCUACGGUCUUUCCACAGAGAUCUGAUCAGAUUGUUGUCCGAUUUUCUCAAUCUUUCAAUCCGGGAUUGCUUGACCAUGACACAAAGCAUCCGAUUCUUCACAAGUAUUUAGGGUUGACCAUCUUUAUAUUUACAGAUACGCAUCUCAGGGAAUUGAGAGACUCAAGUUCCUUCUCUCUCUCUCUAACUCUACAGAGCCCUCUUCCGGUAACUAUCCGCCGAUGGCGACGGUGACGAUAGACACCGGGAAAUUUUUGAUCGGAAGUGUGAGGGAGAAGAGAAGAAAUCUUGAACAGAGCGACGAAAAAUGAAUUUACUUUGCAUAGUAGGCGCUCUCGAUAUUUUUAUUCUAAUUUUUGGUCCUUCUAUUAUAUUUGCUUUUUUGUAAUAACCCAAAUUAUAAUGCAUUAAGAAAAUUAUUAUUGUAACGCCUGUAAAUUAAUUUGAUUUUUUUUUUUUGUUAAUUCGAGGUCAUACGAAAAAGAAUCCUCGGCAAGUAAUUUGAUUUUAAAAAAAUGUGUCUGUCAAUGUCAAAUCCCAACACCAAUUUGUGUAUAGUUUUUUUUUGGUCACGACCAAUUUGUCUACGAAUGAUCACUUUGAAGGACUUGAUUGUUUACGAAUGGUGGCCUAAUGGCCCUGAUCACAGAACAUUUUUUUUCUUCGCGGAUCACUUUAAAUGAUCUUAUCUUUAAAGUUUCAUUUGUAAAGCUUGCGAGUCAAGUGUCUAACAUUUGUUUUUUUUCGCGGAUCACGUUAAAUUAUCUAAUCUUCAAAGUUGCAUCUGUAAAGCUUGCGAGUCAAGUGUCUAAAGACUAGAAAUCGAUCGUUUAAAUGGUAAGAGAUCAAUCGCGUAUGAGGUGGACGGUACAGAUCAAGUUUCACCGCCUAAGGGAAAAAGGAAAAAUAAAUAAUUAAAUGACUUUUAUGCCCAAAAUCAGGACUAGAGAGAGAGAGCUUAAAUACUAAUCUUUCUAUAAAGCCCUAAACACCAAAAAUCUUGAAUCCACUGUCGCAAAUUCACUCGUAAAACCUAAACAGCAGCGAUCGUCAAUCUCCAGCAGUUGUCAUGGGCAUGUCUAAGAAAGAAUCCGCCACAGUAGUAUUCAUCUUUCUCUCCUUCACUUUUUCUUCUCUCUGUUUUGUAGUACGUUUUUUUACCUUCUCCGAAGCUAAUCGAAACUCUGUUUCCAGGUCGAAGCUACAACGAAACUAUUGAAGAAAGGUAAAAAAUUGUUUUUUUUCUUCGAUGUGUUCGUUCUCGAAUUGUAAUUUUGUUGAACGAUGAGAAGAAUUAAUGUUAUUGAUGCUGAACUUGUUGUUAAUUGUGCAUUCUAUUGAAUCUUGGUUCUUUUCUAGUUUCUUACACGAACACUAGAGCAUCCGAUUUCAAUAAUAAUUGAAAAAAAGUGUAUCUUUGUGUUGUGUACAAAGAGGGUUCCAUGAAAUUUGACUACUUUUGUCUGUUGAUGACUAUGUCAGCACUUUUGUUUUUGGGAUUUUGACUUUGUUCUGUCUCUUCACUUUUAGGUAAGAGAGAUGCGGAAGUUGAUCUGGACACCAAAGUGAAUCCGAAGAAGCAGAAGAAAGAGUUUCAAGCUGAGAAGAAGGCACCUCCAAAGAAGAAGAAGGUGGAGACCAGCAGCUCCGACUCAUCAGAUUCUUCUGAUUCCGAGGAAGAACAGAAAGUAUGUUUAGACCUUAGUUAAGCUGAGUUGAAUUCAUGGAGAAUGUUCUGUCUAUAUUCAAGCUGAAUUUAUUUGCUUUUGUGAACAUUCAGACUAAGAAAGACCUUGCCAAGAAGCCUCUGUCUAAGACGAAAGAUGACUCGUCUUCUGAAGAUUCCGAUUCCUCCUCGGAUGAGGUAUGAAUUGCAUCAUAGACAACAUUCUCUUUAUGUUAAAAGGUAUCUUGUGCUUACUUUCAAUUUAUUUUCCCAUAAUUAGGAGCCUUCCCCGAAGAAGCAACUAGCUGCAAGCGUUAAGAAAGCCAAGGCAGAGAGUAGCUCAUCUGAUGAGGACUCUUCUUCUUCAGACGAGGUAUAAACUGCAUAAUCACACUUCUAUCACUGUUAGAGAUGUGUCACGUCAUAUGCUUAAUCUACAAAUUGUUUUAUGAUCAAUUAUAAUUAGGAAUCUGCACAGCCAGAGGUAGUUAAGAAAGCCAAAGAAGAGAGCAGCUCAUCUGAUGAAUCUUCUUCAGACGAGGUAGAGGAAUCAUUACACAUUAGCUCAAUGUUAAUGUUAGAGGAAUUUCAUAUUAAUCUACAACUGCCUUUUUUUUAAUUUAAUUAACUUAGGAAUCAGCCCCUCCAAAGCAACCAGCAGUUGUUAAGAAAGCAGCCAAGGCAGAGAGCAGCUCAUCAGAGGAAGAAUCUUCUUCCGACGAGGUAGAGGAAUUAUUACGCAUUAAACCAAUGUUUUGUUAGAGGAAUUUCAUAUUGAUCUACACUUUCUUGAUAAACUAUAAUUAGGAAUCAGCCCCUCCAAAGCAACAAGCCGUUGUUAAGAAAGCAGACAAGGUAGAGAGCAGCUCAUCAGAGGAAGAAUCUUCUUCCGACGAGGUAUGAAUUGACUCAUUGCUAGUUAAAAGAAAUUUCAUGACAUAUGCUUAUGCUUAGAACAUCGUCUUAAUUGCAAUUUCGUUUAAAAAACAAUAAGGAAUCCGCCCCUGCGAAGAAGCAACCAACAACUGUUAAGGAAGCCAAAGCCAAGGCCGAGAGCAGUUCAUCAGAGGAUGAAUCUUCCUCGGACGAGGUAAAAAUUGCAUUACAUAUUGCUAGCUUAAUGUUACAGGGAUACAGUAUGCUUACGUUACAGUUUUGUUUGUUGAUAAAAACAUAAUUAGGAACCUGCCUCUCCAAAGAAGCAACCAACAGUAGUUAAGAAUGCCAAGCCAGCUGCAAAAGAUUCAUCAUCCUCAGAGGAUGAAUCAGAAGAUGAAAAGGUUUGGAAAUAUUUCCAAGUUAUUUGUUACUUCAGAUUCAGUAACCAUCAGCGGAAAAAAAGUAAUUGUUUGUUUACUAUUUUUUUGUAUAUAAAAAGGAACCUGCUACAAAAAAGAUUCCAGCUUCUGUUAAAAGCAUGUCAGAUUCAGAUUCAUCAGAGGAGGAUUCUGAUGAUGAGGUUUGUUUUGACGCAGUUUCUAGUUCUUUGUAUACUAAUAAAACAUGAUAAUAUAUGAGUAUUUGUUAUUUGUUAUUUCUGAAGAUUUGGCUCUUUAAAAGGUUUUGUGAUGUCUUUUAUUCUAUACACUUACCUAGUCCAUAUUAUUGCGUUACUUGCAGGAAAGUGAUGAUGAAAAACCUCCUCAGAAGAAGGUAUGUUCUUCCGCCAAGUUAUCUUUUAUUAUUUUUUUGUAGCAUAAGUGUACGUCGAUAGAAGUAAAAUGUUUUGCCUUGUUAUACAGGCUAAAGUUUCAUCAACAAAAUCUUCUAAACAAGAAAGCAGCAGUGAUGAAUCUAGUGAGGAAGAGAGUGAAGAUGAGAAAGUAACUCCAAAGAAAAAGGUAGCUACCAAUAAUGCUUCUAAACAAGAAAGCAGUAGUGAUGAAUCUAGUGAGGAAGAGAGUGAAGAUGAGAAAGUAACUCCAAAGAAAAAGGUAGCUACCAAUAAUGAUGUUACAUCUUUUAUGUAUUUCGUAUGAAGAACAGCUCUAUAUAGAAUCUAUGAUAAAAUUUAUUUAUUCCAACACUAAUCAUCUUUUCAUCAAAACCAGGAUUCUGAUACUGAAAUGGUGGAGGCAGAGCCUAAAUCAAAUGCAAAACAAUUGAAGACACCAACCACUCAGACCCCAACUGCUCAGACACCAACCACUCGGACUCAAGGAGGAUCAAGGACACUAUUUGCUGGAAAUCUUUCCUAUCAUAUCAAGAGAUCUGACAUGUAAGUAUGUACAAAAUGUAUUUUUUUCUUCUGGAUAUUCCGAUAAAAUGUUGGUUGCCUGAUACAUAUAACUCAUAUCCAGUGAGGAAUUCUUCCAAGAAGCUGGUGAAAUCGUCGAUGUUAGAUUUGCUUUGCAUGAAGAUGGCAGUUCUAAAGGAUUUGGGCAUAUUGAAUUUGCUACUGCAGAAGCAGCUCAGAAGGUAAGUUGUUACAGGCUAUUUUGGAAUCAUUAAGUGGUAAGUGGAGAAUUACAAUUAUGACUGGAUCUUUUGUUGGAUGUAGGCAUUGGAGCUGAACGGUAAACCAUUGCUAGGCCGCGAUGUUCGGCUUGAUACUGCUAACGAAAAGCGUGCUUCCAACACUACUCCACGAAGCAGGUACUUUUCUUACCUCCCAUAUGAGCUUGUUGUGAAUGUUGAUUGUGUAUGAUGCAAACACUAAAAAUGCUGGAAUGUUUUCAGCAAUGCUGCUCGCAACUACCAGAGCAGUGACAAAGGACAAGGAAGCCAAAGUAAAACGAUUUUUGUUAGAGGAUUCGACUCUUCUCUCGGUGAACAUGAAGUAAAAAUCCUCAUCUUCAACUUUGUUUUAAAACCAACUCGACAUGUGAUAAAAGGUAUUUAUAUUAAAAAAUCUCUGAAGCAAACACUAAAAAAAAAAACUCUGUUCUGAACAUCUUCAGAUCAAGAGUGCCUUGAGAGAUCAUUUUAGUGCUUGUGGAGAAAUCACAAGGAUUGCUAUUCCAACAGAUCCUGAGACUGGUGCUAUCAGGGGGUUUGUAACUCUUGUUUUCCCGCGCUAAUGAAUGAUGAAUGAUGAAUGAUGAUGAUGUUGUUACUCAUGGAACGUAUGUUGUCUUUCAGGAACGCUUUCAUAGAUUUGAAGGAUGGUUUAAACAAGGCAUUGGAGCUAAACGGAAGUGAAGUUGGAGGACGGAACAUAAUGGUGAGCAAGGCUCUACCAAGAGGAGAGAGUGCUGAUCGUAGUGGAGGACGUGCAAGGGACAACAACAAUGGUGGCCGUUUUAAUAACAAACGUGGAAGGGGGCCAAGGGGCAACGACAGUGUCCCUUUUAAAAGAGGACGUGGAAGAACACCCAGCAAACCAAGUUUACUUGCCUCAGCCCAAGGUUUUGUUUCUUUCUUCCUCAUCUCUCCCUUGAGCUUCUUUUGUUGCCUUGUAUUGAAUCUUUUUCUCAUAACCUUUGCUUUUGUAUUGUCUUGCAGGGAAGAAGACCGUUUUUGGUGAUAAUGAGUGAAAAAGCUUGGCUCUUCUUUUUCUUCUAUUGAUUUAGUUCUUUUUCGGCCUAGUUUCUUUUUUUUUUUUUUUUGGAAUUUGAGAAAAACAUUAAGCUUAUGAUGAGUUUACCCUUUAUGUUAAGGUUGAGAGUUUGGUUUCUUUCUGUGAACUAAUAACGCCUUGUGGGUGUUGAAUGAAUCCCUUAACUCUUGCUUCAGUAAUGGUUCCUUACAAUUUACAACCGGUCUAAUUUACAAUUUGAAGUUUUUUUCAUUCUAGUUGAUAGAUUUUUUAUGUUAACUAUCUUAUUGACAGAUUCUCAACUAAAAACUAAAGAGACUGAAAGUCCAAACCAAGGUGGUCAAAAACAUUAUAAUGUGAAGGAACAAUAUAUAUUAAAAAAAAACAACAUACAAAUACUGAGAGUGAUUACAUCAGUUUUAUAUAGAUUACACCAUUUCGUGCUCAAUUUUUAUUUUAGUGAAAGAGCUCAGACAAUGUGAAGUUACUGCCUUAUCUUCUCUGUGUAUUCCAUUGCUCAAGCCAUACUUUUCGAAACAUAGAUGGUAUUUGAUAAAAUUAAUGUUAUGCUUUUGGCUCGACAGAUUGCAAGACACAGUGUAACUUUUUUUUUUUUUUGACCAAAGGCUUCACAGUGUAACUUUUUCGUUAACUAUUUUAAUUUUGUCUAGUUCUUGAGGGAUCAAAUUACUUAAAUACAUUAACAAAAAUGAUAAAAACAUUAAAACAAAAAAAUGAAUCCAAAUUUGGCGCAUGUGUUGUGUUUGUUCGAAACAAUUUUUUUUCUAACGACGGUUGAAACCUUUUAAAAAAAAAAAAACAUUAAUAUUUAUAAGGUUUUUCCUUACAAUUUAAUAUUUUAAAUAUUUUAUAAUAAAAAACAAGUUUUAUUAAUAAAUAAAAAAACAACUCGAAGGUUUACGAGUUGCACAACACUCGUUAAACCCUAAACCUUUAUUUCUGUACGCCGCGUUCUUCCCUCUCAUCUCUCUCUCCUUCUCCAUCUCUCAAAGUUUCUCCCAAGCUAAAUUAUCCAAUUCUGCUCGCUAUCGCAUCCUUCAAGUGGGUAAGUCUCUUUUCUGUUUCUCUUUUGCAGUAGUAAUUCCUUUUCCAAGCUCUGUAUCGAUAAUAAAUCCAUUACUGGGAUUGAGAAAAACCUAAAUUUUUCAUGUUCUAUUGUAAUACACGGGCUCUUACAAUCUCUACCCACAUUCUUUUGGAUUAAGAAUUGAAAUUCACGGUUUUAGAGACCGAUGAUUAGGAUACAAACCUUAAUUUUAGUGGGAGAGAGUUUGCUUUGUCAGUCUUAGAACUUGCCUUCUUUCAUAGAUUAAAAACAUUCUCAAAAUAUGUUGGUUUUCCUCCAUUUACACAAGUCUGUAAUUUUUUCUGCAGAGAGUUGAUUGAUUGAAAGAGCGUAGACAUGGUUGAACUGGAGAAGAAUUCCAGUGAAGAGAUCAAGAAGAGGAUAAGAAAGCGAAACCGUGGUAAGAAGAACGACCAGCAAAGGACGGAAGAAGAAACCCACAACGUAGAGGAAAACACAGAUGAAGUCCAGAAGAAGAGGGAAAAGAAGGUUAAGAAAGUGAAGUUGCAAGGGAAAGGCAAAAUCGAAGAAGAGGAAGAUGAAGAGGUGGAAGCAAAGGAAGAAACAGCAGACGAAGAAGAAGAAGAAGAAGAGAAGAAGAUCGUGGUUGUCAGUAAAGGGAUCAUGACUAAUGAAACUUUUGAAUCCCUGGACUUAUCUGAGCAGACUUUUGAAGCUAUCAAGGAGAUGGGCUUUCAGCACAUGACGCAAGUAAGUAGAUCUGAUACCAUUUUUUCGAUGUUUUUAACUGGAUUUGCAAAACAGGGUCUUUUUAGCAGAGUAUGUUUCUAAGUCUCUUAAUCUUCUGCUAUAGAUUCAAGCCGGAUCAAUUCCUCCCCUUUUGGAGGGAAAAGAUGUUCUUGGUGCUGCCAGGACGGGUUCUGGUAAAACCCUUGCUUUUCUCAUACCGGCUGUAGAGUUGCUGUUUAAAGAGCGUUUCUCUCCUCGCAAUGGGACUGGUGUGAUCGUUAUUUGCCCCACAAGGGAGCUUGCUAUUCAGGUAAAUGCCCUGUUCAUCUAACCUAUGGCAUUUUAACUUAGCAUCAACCAUACUGUAACUGUGAGUACAUGAGUCCUGUAAUUCUUGCAGUGGGAUAGGUAGAAAUUUAUCUCUCAUGUACAUGAUUCAUUGCAAUUGUGUUCGAUUUUUAAAGUAUAAAUAUUGUUGUACGUUAUCUCAGACUAAAAACGUUGCGGAGGAGCUACUCAAGCAUCAUUCACAGACGGUCAGCAUGGUCAUUGGUGGCAACAACAGAAGGUCGGAAGCCCAACGUAUUGCGAAUGGUUCAAAUUUGUUGAUAGCAACUCCUGGGCGUCUUCUUGACCAUCUUCAACAUACAAAAGGUUUCAUUUUUAAGCACCUGAAGGUACUGUCCUUUUUCAUAGUUUCUUUUGGCGCGUGUACUUCUCUUCAUUUUGUGGGGUAGAUGUUAAAACUGUUACUGUUGAGCCAAUAGACAUCAUUUCUUACAGACAAACAAUACUAGUAAAAGAGCCAUAGAUGAAUUGUAGACAGCUUAUUAUAUGGUAUUCAUUUCCGCCGCACCUGUAUUAGAAUUAGAGGGAAAACUACAAAAUAUUUGGCUAAUAAUUAUAUUUCUAGCAUGGGCUGUAGUGAAUACUCUGUUUUAUGCUGUCGAUGACUCCACUGGGAUUUAUCUUUGCAUAUGCUCCUAUAAAUUGCAGUGCCUUGUGAUCGAUGAAGCUGACAGGAUAUUGGAAGAAAAUUUUGAGGAAGACAUGAAUAAGAUUCUAAAGAUUUUACCAAAGGUAAAUCAUCUCUUUGGGUCUUAAGUGUAUUCAAAGAAGAGAUGAGAAAACUAGAUGAAUAUUAACUUUAAGCAUCAUAAGUUCCUUUUCUUUUCUUUUUGUUUAGUAAAUUUUUCCUUCAUAGCAACAAGCCAUGGUAUUGUUAGUCUCUUCAGCCAAAACCUACUAGCGAAAUAGUUUUGUUGGAUUCCGUAUGUUCAAAUGUCUACACGAAUCAUGUGCCAAAGUUUUUGGCAAUACUAUGGCUUGGAUUUUGUUCUGAUUAAAGUUCUUACCAUGUUUCUGCAGACUAGGCAAACCGCACUAUUCUCUGCCACCCAGACCUCUAAGGUAUUUUUCUAUUAGCUGCGGUACUGUCAUUAUUAGUAUUUUCUGUUUCUUAAUUAUGCUAUGUCUUGGUGAAUCGUAACAGGUUCAAGAUCUUGCUCGGGUGUCAUUGACGUCUCCUGUUCAUGUUGAUGUCGACGAUGGUAGACGCAAGGUAUGGAUCAAAAGAAACACUCUGGUAAUGAAAAUUUAAGGAGCAUGCCAUUGAGAUUUUACUUAACUAAGUUUCCAAAACUGUUAGGUGACAAAUGAAGGAUUGGAGCAAGGCUAUUGUGUUGUUCCGAGCGAAAAAAGACUUCUGCUUCUAAUUUCUUUUUUGAAAAAGAACCUAAAUAAAAAGAUAAUGGUGUUCUUCUCGACGUGUAAGUCGGUACAGUUCCAUGCUGAAAUCAUGAAACUAAUAAAGGUGGAUAGCUGUGAUAUCCAUGGCGGACUAGAUCAGAACCGAAGAACGAAAACCUUUUUCGACUUUAUGAAAGCAGAAAAAGGUAUCUUGUUAUGUACUGAUGUUGCUGCUCGCGGUCUCGACAUUCCUUCCGUGGUACGUAUCCACACUAUGUUCUUUGCAUUGAUAACUAACGCUUUAAUUAUACCCAAUAUUGAAAUAACAUUGUGUUGAAUAUUAUUAUCUGUAGGACUGGAUUAUACAGUAUGAUCCUCCAGACAAGCCAACGGUAAGAGAAAUACUUCGCUCUGGUCUUAAUUAUAUACCUUCUGUCUGUUUGUGUAUCUUAGAUUGUUCUUGGGUGCUGUUUGUUUACAGGAAUAUAUCCAUAGAGUUGGUCGAACAGCUCGUGGAGAAGGAGCAAAGGGAAAGGCUUUGCUUGUCUUGAUCCCUGAAGAGCUUCAGUUUGUUCGAUACCUUAAGGUAUGAAUGGUAUUUAGAAUCUUUUUUUUUAGGGUAAACCCACUUGUUUUACUGAUUUGUACUUUAACCUGCAGGCUGCAAAAGUACCUGUGAAAGAGCUUGAGUUCAAUGAGAAGAAGCUUUUGAAUGUUCGAUCUGCGCUGGUAAUAGUUCUGAUUCAGUCUAUUUGCUGUGUGUGAAUAACUUUCCGUUUGUAAUUGGGAUUCGUUGUGAUAAUAACAUCGUUUCUUGCACUUGUUCCGCAGGAGAAGUAUGUUGCCAACGAGUAUAAUCUGAACAGGUUAGCGAAGGACGCGUACCGAGCUUAUAUAUCAGCAUACAAUUCACAUUCUCUGAAAGAUAUCUUCAAUGUUCACCGACUCGAUCUCCAGGUAUAAAAACACACAAAUAGACUAUUUGUUAAUUGUGCUUGAGGGGUUAGAAGAUAGCAGGUUUUUUCAUAUCUCUGUCAUUGGAUUGUCACAGGCGGUUGCUGCAUCGUUCUGCUUCUCUUCGCCUCCAAAAGUGAAUCUGAACAUAGAAAGCGGAGCUGGGAAAGUGAGGAAGGCGAGGAAUCAGCAAAGUCGCAAUGGCUUCUCUUCUAAAAGUCCCUAUGGCAAAGGCAAGUCCAAUCCUAAAGAGGCAUGAAGUUUCUCAACCAGCCUUUAAAUAUUAGUGUUCUGCUCCUCAUUUUUGGGAAACCUUUUUUGUUUUAUUAAUUACCACCGAGUUUUGUCUGAAGAGUAACAGUACUCUGCUUUUUAAUUAUAGAUGAAAUGUUUCUUGUAUUACUUCAGAUCUUUGAGUUGUUAUAAGAAUUGUUUUAUUAAUUUUAUGACAGCUUUCUUUAGGGGCCAGAGAUUGUUUUCUUAGAACAAAAAGUGUCAAACGCUAAGACGUUGAAAUAUAGGAAAUCGUAAAGAACAUAGUUGAGAAAUAAUGAGAUUACAAUAAAAGGGAGAACAUGUGAAGAUUGAAACCUAGACCGGUCAUUGUUAUUCGGAAUACUCACUGCCUAAGAACGAAAAUAGUUGAAAACCUAAAGAGAACAAAAUGCUAAACCGGUCUAAAGUUUGCUGUAACUAAACCAAACCAAAAACCGAAACAGCCAUAAUCGCAAAGACAACAAAACCGGAACUACUGAACUGGACUGCGUUUUUCAAGGCACUGCUCUUCUUGUGAGUUGACGCCGGUAGAGAUGGUGAAGAAGAAGAUGAAGAUGAAGAAGACGAAGACGAGGAAGGAGGAGGAGACUCUGGCGAAGACUCCUCCGUCUCCAUGACUUUUAUGAUCAUCUUCUGACCCUUCUCGCAGUGGCCUGAUACACCGCUAAUGAAGUAAAACAAACCGGGACGGUCUAGUUUGAAAACCGUGUCUUCGUUGUUCGAAUAGAGUUGCGGUUUAGUCGCCUUGCAUUUCUUGUACUCUUCUUUUGAUACCAUUAACACCGAGUCUUUCUUGUACUUGAAACCUUCGCCAAAAUAAACCAAAAUCCCCACAAGAAAUUACAUAUUUUUAAGAUGAAAGUUGCAUACAAAAAAGAAAAAGAAGGAAAGAACUAAAAAAAAAAAGUACUUACGGAUAGUGUCGCCAACUUUAAACCGGUUGUCUGAAGCCCACUGGUUAAACAUGUCUCCAUGAGCCGUAGAUUUUGGCACGAUCCAACCAUCUUCUCCUCCAACUUCAAAUUCAGUGCUUGAAACACAUGAAAACAUAAAGAAUGAUACAAGGAGCGUAACGAGAGUGAUCAUCUUCAUUGAACCCAUUUGUUGUUUUUGGAAUGAUAUCUAGGGAGCUCUAACAAAAAAAAAAGGGGAUUUGUUCUUGGCAGAAAUCUAAGUAACGAGGACUAUUUUUUUUUUCUUCUCUCUGCUCUUUAUGGCUUGUGAACACUCGAGGUCUUGAGUUUAAAAAGAGUGAGAUUUCGAGGUCUGUUAGUCUUGACCACAUCUUGAGGGAUAAUUAUUGGAUAUAUCUUUGACUUGGUAUUUUACAUUUUUUGAAUCAGAAAGAUAACUUGUGAAAACAACAUGACUCGAAGUUGUUGAGUAAUAUCAGAUUUUAUGGGAUACGUGCUUCUUAUUCUGAGUUACAAAUUUGAAAUUAUGUGGACGAUGUCUUUUUCUAAAGAAUUCUUUUAAAGAUAGUUUUGGUGAAAAUGUGUAUCACUUACGCACAUAUUUUAACAUCUAAAAUCAAAACUACACCUAAGGAUACGGACAUACGGCGUGUGACCAGUUAUGCUAUUGCUUAUACGGAUUUUCAUUUAUGGGUUGAAAUUGUUAUUUAAUAAAGUUUUGGUAAAUAUUCUUAGAUUUGGAAUAAUUCAGGCUCAUUGUCCCAAAAUGUUCCAAUGACUUUCUCAGCUUCGAGCACUUUAGGGUUUAAGACGUUUAAACCCAGAAUCCUACAUUUCGUCGUUUCGAUUCGAAAACUCAGUGAAAGAGCUAAAAAUGGCGAAUUCAAUGGCCACGCUUUCGAGAAGACUCUAUCGAUCCCUUCUCUCGAACCCUCGAUUCUCUCAAUCUUCCAUGUCCUUCUGCUCCAACAGCAUCUCAUCCGACUUGGACGAGUUAUCGGCUAACUCGGACACUGAAUCGCCCCUUGAAUCGAAGUAUUCGGAUCCAAUGUCUCGAGUGUCCGGAGAAGAACGCGUGAUGGAAGAGCAUCCCCUCGAAAAUGGCCUCGAUGCUGGCAUUUACAAGGUACCAAAUUUCCUCCCCUCGAAAUCGGUUCUAGUUCCAGUUGAUUUCUUAUAGCCAUUUCCAUCGGAAAUUGUAUCCGUUUUGUUAUUUUAUUUUCUCGAACCAUCCAUGGAGAUCAUUGCAAUUUAGCUUGUUUAAUUCUCGAGUAUGAUCAGUGUUAGUCAGUUUCUGAAUAUCUUAGGUCUCCUUUGGUUUGCUUAUUAGUGAAUUGUGCUAAUUUUCAGGCAAUUUUGGUGGGGCAAGUGGGACAGCUGCCACUGCAGAAGAAGCUGAAGAGUGGAAGAACAGUGACUCUCUUCUCUGUAGGAACCGGUGGGAUCAGGAAUAACCGGAGACCGAUGAUUAACGAAGACCCUAGAGAAUAUGCGAACCGUUCUGCAGUGCAGUGGCACCGUGUCUCUGUUUACCCUGAACGCUUGGCAGAUCUUGUCUUGAAGAACGUUGAACCCGGGUUAGUUCUCUUAUUAUGUGAUGGGUAUUUUGAUUUCUCUAAGAUUCAUGUCGGUGAAUAAAAAAGGAAGAAGCUUUAGGUGGUUUCUUAGUUGCUAGAAUCAAAAUGGCUGCUUUCUUUUUCCAUGCUUGUGCCAGUGAAUAAACAUAUCCGUGUUCUAUGCAACAGCACAAUUGUUUACUUGGAGGGUAAUCUGGAGACGAAGAUUUUCACUGAUCCAGUCACUGGUUUGGUUCGACGUAUAAGAGAAGUCGCAAUUCGUAGAAACGGUAUAAAUGGCUCAACUCCAAAGAAAUCGAUUUUGUUCACUCAGAUUUAGCAUUGUUCAUAUUUAACUGCAAAAAAAAAAAAAAAAACAAAUCAGAUGUUGAUCUCUGUGUUUUCUUCCUCCAGGCCGAGUUGUGUUUUUAGGUAAAGCUGGUGAUAUGCAGCAGCCAAGUUCUUCUGAGCUUAGAGGCGUUGGCUACUACUGAUUUUUAGCAUAUAAAUUGUCAUUACGAGACACAAUUCGGUAUUGUAUCUUUUUCGCUUUUGUUGUCUCUUCUUGUAACUUGAUCAAUGCAUUUUUAGUUAAACCGAGUCUAAACCAAAAUUUUUAAUUAAACCGAGUCUAAACCAAAAUCUCGAUUAAAGACAAUGAAACAGAGACCUAUCUACACGUGUUUGGAAACCUUGCAUGAAUGCCACCUCGAAGCUGAAUAUAUCCUCCAUUUGUUUGUUUCACCCUUUCCUCUUUCUGUUCUCUCAAUCACCCACACAAAAGCAAACAAUCAGUCUCUACAAUGGCGGAAACGUUCUCUAGCGGCGAGGCCCAAUAUUGGCCCAUAUACGGUAGCAACACCACCGGCAGCAACAACAGUUCCUAUGCUUCCCUUCUCCGCCUUCUCCGAUCUCAUUCACCAACCUCCUCACAGCUCUUUGGUUUCCUUGCUCUCUUCAUAUCCACCGGAAUCCUCCUCUUCCUCCUUGGUGUAACCGCGACGGCCACCACAAUAGCCUUCAUUGUGUUUCUUCCGGUGAUCAUCGUCUCGAGUCCGAUCUGGAUUCCCAUUUUUGUCAUCGUUGUCGGUUUCUUAACCGUCACCGGUUUUCUUGUCGGAACGGUGGCCGUUGUGUUGUGGACGUACCGUUAUUUCCGUGGAAUGCACCCGGUUGGAUCGGAUCAAAUGGAUUAUGCACGUAGUCGGAUCUAUGACACGGCCUCUCACGUCAAAGAUUACGCUAGAGAGUACGGUGGAUAUUUCCACGGCAGAGCUAAAGAUGCGGCACCUGGUGCUUGAUGACCUGAACCAGUCGGUAUAGUACUCUUGUUCAUGGUGAUAUUAACCGAUCGCGGUUCGGUUUUUAUGGAGGAUUAAUACGGUUCGUGGUAGUAUUACAUUUUGUUUUUUUUGUUUCCGUUUAUAAGAAGAAGAGCCAAAGAAUAUAUUUUGGUUAUGUACAAGCUUUUUAAGAUUUUGGGUGCGUGUGUUAAAUUUCAUUCGGUUAUGUUUGAAUUAUAAAUUUUGAAGAUUCACGAAAGUAUAUAAUAUGACUACAUAAGAUCGCGUUUUCUAAGCAAUGCAUGAUAGAUUGAUAGGAGUAUCUUCCUUGCUUAUUUCAUACGUUAGGGAAGAACAUACUACAUCUUUGUUGUGUCCUUUUUCUAAUAACGAAGUUUAUUUAUAUGAUUUGAUAAUAUAGCCUCGUCAAAGUUUGAAAAACAAAAACACUACUCAAGUUAAUUAGAACCUUGUAUUCCUAUAAUUUUAUUGAUUGCAGCCCUAAGUAUACGUUUUGUGAACAUGACAAUUAUCUAUCUUUGAAUGGUGUUAUAUACUUAUAUUACUAGAUUGAAUCUCUGACCAAAAUAAAAACGGACGGAUUCUUUGAAGGUUAAAUCAGCUACAGAGGGCAAAGAAAUUUCUGUUACAAUAAAUUGUCUUAGUUCAUAAAUCAACCCACGACUAUGAUAAUAUAUCAAAAUGAUUAAAAUGAAAUUUUGUGAAACGACAAAAGUAGGAUAAAUGAGUAAAAAAGACAGUUGAUGAAAAUUACAUGAGUGAAAUUUCGAUUUAAGAUUUUAUAGCAGCCAACUAAUGAUCUUUUCAUCCUCUCAAACCAAUACCAGUGUACAAAAUAUAAGACUAAUUCAUGUAUAGGCUUUAUAAUCUUACAACACUUUCCUUUUAUUUCUUUUGCAUAUUAUUUAAAUACUCGAGACAGCAUUUAAGAACAGGACAUUAGGGAUAUAUUUAAGAAUCUAAAGGUGGAAUCGUUUGGAUGGACUUCGUUGUGUUAUGAUUUGAGGUCAAAGUCAGCAGACAAAAAGCAUCGGGCCCUCAAGUCAACACCCAUAUUUGGCCGGACGUCAACCGUUGAUUUGGUCAAAGGAAAUUAUUUUGGCAUUAGUAAUCAUUAACACGGUUAAUUAAGGCCAUCAUCAUUGGAACCUUGUUUUACCGCAUAAUGGAUUCAAAGUUUAAUCAUACCAUAUAUAAAUAAUAACACAUACCCGCAAUAGAAAGCUAAAAAUACAAAUGUAACUCAACCAUAUUUAGUCGCUUUUUCUAUGGUCCCGGUAAUGAACGGCUGUAACUGAGCCGUUAGUAUAUCUUUUAAUACUACCACAAAACUUUAUAAUUUGCCAAAAAGUAUUAACUGUAUAAAGUACACAAUAAUAAGCCUGAAACAUGUAAUAUGUCAUCUAUCAAUAACAAGGGAACAAAGUAACUUCUAGCGAAAUUUAACACUCACCUGAUAACACACAAAACAGAACGAACAUCAAUCAAAUUCACUAAAUUUAAAUUUCUUUUCCCGUCGGGUUUAACAAUGACCCAACAUAAGAACGGGUCGGGCGAUCCGGCACUAGACUUGCACGUGGCGACCUCGGAGGAACUUCCUUUAGCUGAUGUCCACUACAAUCGUAGUAGAUCACACCGGAAUAAUCCAACGGCUCACAUUUUCCUCCCAUCAAAAUCUCUCUUUGCCAAACACCGUACUCCUCCUCGUCCUCCUCCACCACCAUCUCCGCCGCCGUCUUUCUUGCAGCCGGCGUACCUCCACUACCGUCGUAUGCUUUAUUUUUCCGGCCAACCAUAGUCAUUGCCUUGUUGCUCAGAGUCGUCAAAAGCUCCUUAGGACGUGUUCUCAUCGGCGAAAAAGCACGUGCCGGACUCCAUCCAAACCUUCCUCCUCCGGCGCCUUCUCCUUCGCCGUUAGAUUUAGGGUUCUCGAGAUAGUCUUCGAGGUGAUUUCGUUUCUUAGUAGGCUUGAGUUUAAGCUUCUUAGAGACUCUGUUUGCGUGUCUUGCACAAAGUACCAUGAGAGAGACAAGAAAGCUCACGCUUAAACGUUUGUGGGUGGAGGAGACAUGUUCCGGCGUCGAUCUCUCCAUCUCUCCGUCGUUUUCUCCGGCAAGUGAAAAGUGGGUUUAAACUCAAAGUCUCAAACGAUAAAAUAUUAAUGAGAUUAUUCUUCGUUUGAAUUGGUUGGGGUUACGUAUAUUUAUAUAAAUACAGGUCCAAAGGGUGUUAGCUUACCGGCUAAUCCGGUAGCCUUUGCGUUGACAUCUUUUAUUAUGUUGACAUUUUCUUGGUUCUUUGUGUCAGUGAUGAUCUCGUUUUAUAUAAUAUGAUAUUAAUGCAUGAAUGAUUAGGACGAUUUAUGAUUGCAUUCUCUUUAUUUUGAUAUGUUUUGUGUAUUAAACCAAACGAGCAUGCGAGAGACAUGCAUCAACGAUCUUUUGAUAAAACUCCAACGUGUUUCAAUUUUAUUCCUUGAUAAAGUAUUUGCUUCAAUUCGUGAGUUCUAAAGUAAAAAUUAUUAUAAAUUGCUGUAUAACAUAUUUCGUCAGCUCAUCCUUAUCAUUUUUAUAUAUUUGUUUUUUAAUAUUUUUUUGUAAAGUUUGAUUAUAAUUCUUUUCAAAGACGAGCACUAGUACUGGUGGGGCAAAUAUCAUCAACACAAUAAAUUGAAGUGAAAACCCCACUCAACGUUAGGUGUUGGCUGAUGUGCAAUAAUUUCUCCUUCCAUGUUUAUCACAAAAUCGCAACAAACAUGCGUCAGGCAUCACCAUUUAUAAUUAACAAUAAUAUCAUAGAAAUUCAAACCACAAAUAUGGCUGAUUAAUUAAAUAUGGGUAUAUAACCACAUUACGGCUCAGAAAUGCUGAUUCCGUCAUUGACGAAAAAGGGUUAAUUUAGCCAAACCCAAUUUGUAUUUGUUAGGUUAUGCAGCAUGACAGAUAACUUUAGAUGAGAUCUUUAUUUUCCGAGAGUUUACAAAAAAAAAAAAAAAGUUGGUUGAAAAAGAACUUCUAAAUACGAGCUCUGGAACAACUUGCUCAUAAUGUCAAAUGUGUAAAGUGAAUAAUGUAAAUGUGUUUAUAUCCUAAGUCACAAUUGUAAAGUGUUGUUAUAUUAUGAUCACGACCUUUCAUUAUCCUCUACGUGUUGCGAACCACGUGUCUAAGUCUAGCACUCGCGAACCAGAUUCGGAUCGGGUCAGGUUAAUGAUAGUGGACCCAGUCGGCUUCUCAUCAACUUGAUCUUUAAUUUGCCACUGAACAUCAACACAACACGACGGUGACUGCUAAAAGGUCCCACCGAGGUUUUCUAUUUUCGUUUUCGUUUGUGAAACUCUGACUCAGUCUCAGCUCAAUCUGUUUAUAUAUUUGUUACAAUACAGUUUUAUUUUUUGGUAUGAUCUUUGUUACAGUAGUUUUGUAAGAAGAAGUUGCAUACGAUUUUUGGGGGUUAGUGUGUUCGUUUAAUUGUUAUAUUAUGAACUACCCUAUUAGGGGCUUUGGGCUAAGGCAAAUAUGAUACCCACUUGAAGUUUUUUUUACUACUACGAGCAAUCGUUUCUUGGCGUUUUCACAUCAAUAUCAUAUUCUAUCGCUUGGAUUUCGGCGUAUCCAUAAAUUAAUCUCAUUAGUCCAAUAGUCCACUUGAUUAAAAACAAAAAUUAACGUAUCAUUCACAUAGAAAAACACCUAACAUUUUACGUUGGUGGUUAGCCAAUUUUAAUUAAGGUUCAUUGAUUAGAAUAGCAAAGGGACGCUAAAUGUAGUUGACCGGAACGACCUGUACGUAUUUCUUUAUUAGCCCACUAUAAUCAAGUUUCGCUUCAAGUUUGGUUUUCUUGAUUUGUUUUUCUGUUUAUUUUAUGAAUUGUCAGAGUCUUCGUAGUACUGGACACCCCUAUCUUAUUACCAAAAGCUCUCGAAUGCGAUAUAUAUGUGCAUAAAGAACAGCAUUUUCAACAAAAUUGGUAGAAUAUGAAUAGAAACAAUUGAACCUUAAAGUUCAAAUAGUUUGGUACAAAUAAUUAACGAAGAAGAAUCGCUGUUGAAGGGGAGUUAGGAAGCACGAUAUCCUCAAGUGUUAGGUAGCCUCCCUCUUAUUAAGAAAACUUUUAUUUAAACCAGAACAUAUAAUUCAAAGCUAAUACAUAACAAGUAAUUCAAAAUAUUUAAUCCUUUAAAAAAAAAUCAAAUUAAUUAGCAAAUAUGUGAAUAUUGUCACUACGUGUAUCCAAGAAAAGUUGACCGUAGUGUAGGUUUUAGAUCGUAUUGCACUGAAUAAAUUUUGCUUUUCAGAUUUUGAUGUUCAAUUUUAAGUUAAUUAUACAGUAUUGCUUAUAAUAUUGUGAUAUUAAUUUGGUCUGUUUACAAUCCUUCAAUAUUAAAAACAAUUGAUUGGGAGAAGCUAUUCUAAUAUUCUUAUAUAUAUGAUACAUGUAAUUAUAAAUUAAAAGAAAAACACAAACACGUCUGUAUGAAAUAUAUUUUCCAAACAAUCAGUAAGUGCAUAUAUUGAAUUAAAUUAAAUUAUAAAAACUGAGAAGUGAGAACACGAGAACUAUGAAUUAUUUAUGUUAGUUUCAUUUGAUAUGUAGAUCUGGCAUCUGACCCGUGGCAAGGCAGACGCCAUAAAACCUUUGGGCAUUAUCUCACGUUGACAGACCUACAUUUGAAUUUGAUUUUAUGUUUCAGGCCUGUUUUUUCCAAUCUCAAUGGGCUCAUCUACUACCAUAUUGAUCCAUUGGAUAUGGAUGAAUCGUAUAAUAUUUUCAAACCUUAAUGGCUAACAUAACAUAAAGCUAAUGUAGUUAAGACCCAUACAAUUUUAGGAAAAUAUAACAUAGAGCUACAACAUCGUCUUUAUUUGAGCUGAAGAAGUUGGCGGAUACGGCUUUACACUUUUUACAAGUUCGCAGGGAUUAGGGGAUGCGUAGCUAUAUUAGUGAAGUCACUCCAAUAAAAGAAAGAGACCGGCCAUGAAAACAGCAUAUAAUUGAGUGUUAUGGAUUAGACACCCGAAAAAAUUGUACAAAAAAUGAAAUAUUAGACCUUAAGAAGCAAGAACCAAGGAGCAACUAUAGACGUGAUUACUUGUCCCUUUUCUUAUGCCAAUUAUCUGGUUAUUGAUGAUUUGACUAUCUGGUCUAGCUAAAUUGCUCAUGUUUAAUGUAAUGUCAUCAAAAGCUUAAAUGGAGAUCUAAAUUCUUAUAGUAGUGAAAAAUCAUGACAAUCGUAUUAAAAAAGCGCACUACGAAAUUACAAAAAAAAUGAAAAACUAACUUGAUUCAAAGUCAAAAUUUGUGUGCAGAGAUAAAAAUGAGAAAGAAAAAAAAAUACAAAUGUAGUAUAUAGCCAUCCAAAAGAAAAGUCGGAAAGAAAAGACUCAAAUUCAGACAACGGAUAGUUGAAAAGAAGUCUAAUCAAGCUCAUAUGAUCUCGAAUCCGAAGAGAAUAUGGGCUUAGAUCUGAUAUUUCUUGAUUAAAAAGAAAAACCAUUUAUGUUGGAAAGAAAAUAAAAACCAGGAAUAAUAUGUCAAUGCUAAAUAUCACCGUGAACAAAAUAUUUUAUACGAAAGAUUUUAAGAAUUAAGUCUAAAAUUAUACUUAAGAUUAGCCUUAUUAGCCUAAUGAGUCACUUCCCUCUACUGGAUAUGACUGGUGGUCUUCAUGACUCACUUCUCCAUUUGGUUCAACCAAACAAAACGCAAAAAUCUAUUAAAAAAAAAAAGAAAAUAUCAACAAGAUUUUCCGGAAACCCCUAAAAGUCCGCCAUUGAUGCCGGAUGCGUACAGCACUCUCUCUCUAUUCCUAUUUCUUCUAGGGUUGGUAUCUGUCGCUCAAAGCCACACUCUCUCUCUUUCUCUAGGGCUCUUAAUUAGUUGGGUUUGAAAAAAAAGGACAAUGUCGGGCUAAUUAAUUUUACAGUUUCUGGGUCUCAUUCUCUAUAUAUCUGUCUGGAUCUGUAUCUCUAACAAGUACAUUUGUGGUCGGAUUCUUUUGGUUCUUGUAAUAACAGUCAAAGUUCUGGUUUCUCACUACCCAGAUCUAGGGCUUCUUUCUUUUUUUGCUUUGUUUCUGGUAACUGAUCAGAUCUUAGGGUUUUUGUUUCCUUCAUCAUUUUUUUAUUCUCUUCUAAUAUUUUUGCCUCCAUCAUUAGGGUUUUAUUACAGCUUCUUCUUUGUUAAAGGGUAUUUUUUUUUUUCUUUGAGAAAGGGUUUUAAAGGGUAUUAUUACAGCUCCGACUAAAUACACUUUAUUUUUUAAUGUUAAUACGCGAUUAAUAAACUGAUCUCGCUCAUGCUUGGAACUGAGAAAAAUAAAAUCUUGCAGAUCUAUUUGGUUCUUGUUUUGCCUCUGAGCAUAUGUCUUUCUUGAAGGAAAUUAAUCUUCUUUUAGUUGUUCCAAAUCGAGCAUUUGUCCAUUUUGGCUUUUUCAUUCUCUAAAGAUAUGAAUUAAUUUAACUUUUUUAAUUUGGGUUUUUAGUUAUUGGCACUUUUCUUUUUCAUUCUCACAAUUACUCUUUGAGGCGUAUUGUUAUCUACAUCUUGACAAAUAUAGGCAUGGGGCCACUUUAUUUAUAUACUUCAACCUUUUGUUGUUCUUCCCAAACAGUCGAUUUUCUUUUUCUUUUUACAUUUUCUCUUAUGCCAUUUUUUUUUCCUUGAGAAUAUAUGGUUUAGGAAGUAGAAAUCCUCUGAAUUUACUUCCCAUUAUUUUAUCAUUUUUUUUUUCAUCCUUGCUAGUGCUUUGCUUAUUUAGAAAAAGAAUUGUACUAUAUUCACCAGGCAUUCAAAAUUUAACGCAAAAUACUUUUGAUGAAAUUAUACUUUACAUUUUUUUUUUGUGAUUGACUAGAGUCUAAACAUCUGCAUUCUUGUUGAGCUUUUCUGUUUGGCAUUACACUUCACAUUAUUAUAGAGAUAUAUGUAGACACAUCUUUUCGUCGACUAGCAAGUUGAUAUAAUAUAAACAUAAGCAUAUGUUUUUGUCGAUUAGUUUAUGUAAUUAUAAACAAAUAAGAUAGUAUGUUUUAGCGCAUAAGUAAUGUUCCUUUGUUUUUCUUGGUGUACUUAUUCGUUUUUAUCCUUUUGUCAACUGUCUUUUUUACUCAUUUAUCCUACUUUUGUCGUUUCACAAAAUUUCAUUUUAAUCAUUUUGAUAUAUUAUCAUAGUCCUUUCUGUAAAUUGACAUUUUGUCUUUGGGACUUGUUUGAAAAUUUUAAUCUGUUCCCUAUUGUAGUCUCUUCUUCCAUUUUACAAUUAUCUAGAAACAAAAUACAAUUAAAGCAAACUUGACAUUCCAAAGAAAACAGAAAAUCUCUUACCCCAUAUUGUCUUUUAUGUUUGGCAGUAGCUAUAUACUUAACAUGUGAGUCUGUGAGUUUGUUAGUAAUUACCAACUAUGAGACAUGAGUCGUUGAGAACUGAAUCAAUUUCAAAUAAAAUCAAGAGAAAGUAAAUAUUUUAAUAAAAAUUACGAUUCACGACAUGUUUGAAAUGACUCAAGGUUUGACAGCUAAUCAUAAAUUCAUCUGCAAGUGGAACCGAAUCAAAGUGAUCGACUUCUUGUUGAUGCUACCAGAAUGGCGAUGUAAUUGUUAUUAUAUUAGAACAAGCUUAUUGUUAUUAUAUAUAAUAAUAUUUCUUUUUGUUUUACAUAUGUAUAAUUUAUUAUGUUGGUCAAAAGAACAAUGUGAACAUCAUGUUCAUAAUCGUCCUUUUGGAUUUUUUUUUUCUCUGUACAUCCAUCCAAAAGUAUACUCUAUAGAAUUCGAUAAAAUUUUAAUAUUUUUUCUCUGUAUAGUUCUAUCCAAAAGUAUACUCUAUAGAAUUCGAUGAAAUUUUAAAUAUAUAUGAUCUGUACGGAAUUCUAGUUUGGAUACAUAAUAUAUCCUUUUAAGUCUGAAUUGAGUAAGCUAACUCUCCUAAUAAUUCGGUUUAUUGUAAAAGAAGUAAACUUACUACAUGUACUCCCAAAACAUUUGUUUAUCUGGGCAGAUGUUACAGAUACUAUAUAUCAUUUGUUAAAGACAAAGCAAAUAGCAUCACAUCAUUUGAAUAGAAAACUUAUUAAAAAGUGAUAACGUCUCUGAUUUAUCACAAGUUCACUAGCCAUUUCAUUAGUUGUUGCACUUAAGUUGAUAAACUUGAAAGGGUUUGAAAUUCUUGAUUGUGGCUUGGUCGACUAGCUACUAGAACUGACGUCCAGGACUCAUAACAGAGAAUCAGUAGAGAGUGAAAAAAUGAAAUCAUGAAUUCUAACUUAUAUUUUUUUUGUUCUCAUCAAUUUGUCAUUCUUUGUUCUUAUAAUUUUCGAAUUCCGAAAGGCAGACGAAAACUCAGAAACAUAGCAAACGAUUAUAUUAAAAAAAAUGCGUUUAAAUGCUAUACCUGUACAUAUAAUAGUUAAGGUUCCACUCGAAGUCGCGAACUAUAAAAACAAAAGGCAUUCACAUUUUACAUUGUUUUGAUAUGUGACACUAAAAUGAAGAAGAAAACGGCAGUGAUUAUUUUACAUCCAUGUAAUAUGUGACGCUAAGAAGAAAAAGGCUUCAUAUAAACUUAAAAUUCACAUAUCUCUCUCAUAAAUUAUUAUUAGUUUAAUUUGAGAAGUUACGAUAAGUCGAUAUCAACACAUAUUAUGGUAGUUGUACAUGAGGUCUCUUGGUUUCCCGAAGAAGUGACGAAGAUCCGUUAACUGCUCCUGCUGCUGCAAGGUACAUAACCAAACAAAUCAAUCGAUGAAAUUUGGCAAUAUCAUACAUGAUAUAAGUCAAUUAAAAAAAAAAAUGGCGCUUUGAAUCUUAGUUUGAUGUGGAACUAUAUGAUCAUUAUAAAUAACUCCUAAUCUAUAUAUAACAUUAAUGAAUUGGUGUUCGUACAUAUUGCUAUAUUAGAUUUCAGAUAGCCUAUAUAUAUAAAACUUAAUAAUAUACUAGAAGAAAAGAAAAAACUCUAUAAAACUAAUAAAUUUGAGUCGUAGAUAUAGAAUAUAAGGUACCUCUAUGGAAGUAGCCGCGCCUUGGCUGCGAUGGUGAUUAAGCAUUGGAAAUGAUGAAUUCAAUUUGUUGAUCAUAUCAUACGCUUCGUCCGAAAUGUGAUCUUUCUUAUUCAGUAAAAACUCAUUGCGAACUGCAAAACGAUCGUUAUUGCAAAGUUCUUCCAUCUCUUCCUCGCAGGUCGUGGCCUGAUCAAAAGAACUCCAAUUCACAUCGCUUUUAUUAUUCUCACCAUAUUGAUUAGGAGCUUCUUCUUGUACAACAUUUACUUGUAAUCUUCUCUUCAUCAUCUUCUCUUUUGUUCUUUCCUUUGCUCUCUCUCUUGCUUUAGCUCUCGAAUCCUUAGACAACUUCUUCAAGAUGGUCGUUCGAGGUUGCGACAUCUUUCUCUUCCCUCUCAUCGAUCUCUUGUUGCCUUGUGUUUCUAAUGCAAACCGAACUUAUAUAACUUUUUUAUAGAAAAUUGAAACUGUAUAAUUUGUAAAACAGUACCAACGGUUAAAGUACGUACCGGUCGUGUUAGUAUUGCUGCCUCUAUCAUCGACUGUCCACAUGGAUGCAAGUUCGCAUAGAUCAGAGGAUGUGUCCAUUGAUCCUAACGCCGGUUCUUGAUUAAAUGUUACAAUUUCAGAUUAAGCGUGAAGAUCAAUAUUUUCAUAAAUGAUGGAAAUUUUAAUUAAUUACUAGACUUCAAAUUAGAAAAGAAUGAAUGUAUACUUACGGGUUUGAGACUCCUCGCCGCUGCUGAAGCCGCCGUGGUUAGAAAGGCUUUUGGCGAUCUUUAUGAUCUCAGGUUUGGCUUGUGUGAGCAACCACUCCACGGUUUUGCUGGCUUUGUCGAAGCCAAGCAUGUCUUGUAACCCGAACAAUUCUUUGGCAACCUCUAAUGAGAGUCUCAUCCUACGAUCUCGUGUCCCUUUCGCCGUUUUGAUCUUGCUAUGCCUGUCCUUUCUGCUUGGUCUCUUGAGUCUUUUCAUUUCAGGGUCUUGAGAAGUUGAGAAUCUCUGGCAAUCUUCUAUGUGGGUUAUGGUUUCAGAAGGCUCAACGAGUUGAGAUUCUCCAGUAGGAUUGUUCAAGGGAAGAAGUGAUGGAUGAUGAUGAUGAUGGUCAGUGGUGGUGAUGGUUUGGUUAUCAUAAUGGCCAUUGUUUUGUGGGAGGAAAGAGGCGAGGAGGGUGAAAUCCGGGACGAAUUCGAAUUGAGAAAAAGGAGAGCUAGUUGCUUGUAGGAACUGAUGAUGAGGAUGAUGAUGGUCAAGAUGAUUGUUUGGUGUGUUGAAGUUGGAGUGAAUCAAGAUGUCGUUAAUGGAAGAGGAAGGGCUAAAAGGGAGUAUGGGCUGUGAGGAAUAAUGGUCAUUAUAAGGGAAUAACAUGUAGUCUUCAUUGUUGGUGGAAGUAGUACUGAAAGUGUUGUUGUUCAUGUCUUUUUAGAGGGUUUUCAAGCAACAAAUUAAAUUAAAAACCCCUAAAACAAACUUUUGAGAAUGACACUUGUACCAAAAUCUACUUCAAACGCACCAAAAAGAGAAGAAAAUGAGAGAAAGCAAAAACUCAAAGAGAAGAUUACUGUUCCAGUGACGAAGACAAUCAAAAUUACCUGCAAAAAUCAAGAAAAAUGAAAGAAAGAACAGUAAUAGUGAUUAGUCAAAUAUUACAAUAUGUCUUUGUUCAAGAGAAUCUAUGUUUGUGUCAUCUAAAUGUGUAGAGAGAGAGAGAGAGAGUACCUUUAUUGAAGUAAAGGACUAUGGCUGAGAAAGACAACACAGGCAAUGUACUUAAAUGAGUCUAUGUGCUAUGAAUUAGAAUGGAGAGAGACAGAGAGAGAGAGAGAAACCUAUAGAGAGAGGCAGAGAGAUAUCAUCAUGGGGGAAGGAACAACAUCCAUUCGGAGGAGGGUACGCUUUUGAGGAGGAAAUUAUUUCUUUAAUUUUUACUGAAAAAAAUAUAUUCGUUUUGUUUUUGUGAAAAUGUGAUAAGUUUCUGUUUUAUUUGGGGUUGUAAGGAUUGUUUUAAUAACUAUAGAACCAUGUCUUUCAUGUUCUUAGAUUUCUCUGAGAUAUUUCAGUAUAACAAAUUAGAUAAGAGAUCACAUCAAGUCUUUGCUAGAUAUAAAACUGUUGACAGCUAUCAACAAAUUAAUGAUUAUAUAAUCUUUAGAAUUUAUUGUAUGAUUUAAGAUAUGCCUAACAAUAGUUAGUUCAAAUAAAAUAUUUCACUAUGGAGCUGUUCAUCAUAGAUAUAUAUUUAUUAAAUUUAGAUUUUGGUACAACAAUAAUAAAAUUUAAUGAAUUUCAUAGGAUAUUUUACAUUUUGGGCUAGUUCUGUUUGUUGACACAUAUAUUGACACAUUUAUGUUUAUAUAUCUAAUGAUUAUAUAAAGAUUUCGCUUUAAAUGAAAUGCUCUUUGUUUACUAACCAAAUAGACAUGUAAAGUUUAGUUAGAUAAGUUCUAUCAAUUUAGUUAUAUCAUUUCACAUAUUUAAGUAAACAAAGAGAAGGAUGUAAUAAAAUGACAAAAUGGAAGGCAGUGAUAUAAUAUAUAUCUAGUUUCAAUGAAAAUGACAACUAAUAAAAAAUAGAUAGAAUGUUGCAUAUUAAAAAGAUCAAAAUUAGAAAAGUUGGAUACGAAAUAAAAAGAAAUAAAGAAAAUUUCUCAAUUAUGCAAAAAAUAGCUACCAUAAAUUCUUUUAUAUAAAUUCCUUUAUAUGGAAAAGGAUUUAAGGAGAAAUGGAAAAAAAUUUAGAUUUAUUUUUAAGGAAAGUAACAUUUUAAAUGUUUGCAAUUUUGCAUUUCCAACAUCAGAUACAGUUGUUGAAAUUUGUAAUUAACCAAAUAUUUUAAAUGAAUUAAGUUUUGUUAAAUUUUAGGUGAUUUUAGUUAGUAUAAUUUUUUUUUAGGUGAUUUUAGAUUUAUUUUUAAAGAAAGUAACAUUUUAAAUGUUUGCAAUUUUGCAUUUCCAACAUCAGAUACAGUUGUUGAAAUUUGUAAUUAACCAAAUAUUUUAAAUGAAUUAAGUUUUAAUAAAUUUUAGGUGAUUUUAGUUAGUAUAAUUUAUGAGAGUUUUUAUAAUUUGCUAUUUUGAAAUCUUAUUUUUGUCCAUUUUUUUUUUGAAAUAGCACUUAAAACCAUGAAAAUUUUGUAUCUUAUAUAUAUACUUAACAAUGGUGAAGUACAAAAUCACAUGUUAGAGUGACAUUUGAGAAUGGCCAUACAUACGUUUUAAUUUUGUAUCUUAAGAUAAAACGGGUCUUGAUAUAAAACCUCUUCGUUAUAAAAAAACUUAAAAUCUUAUAAAACAUUUCUGCAAUCAUUACAAGUAGUAAUACCUUAGAUAUUUCUAAUAACAAUAGAGUAUUUGAAGAUGUUCAAAUCUUCAAAUUACCAGUGAAACAGCCUUGAAUACAAAAAAAUUACAAAUAUGAAAACCAAUAAUACUGGAUUAUAUAAAUUUUCAAAAUUUAUGAUUGAAUAGCAUAAGAUUUUUUUUUUAACAUGAUUCCAAUUUGCAAAUGCCUGAUACUCAUAUAACACCCACCCUAAGAAAUUAUCUUUAAUUCCAUGUGGUAAUUCUAGAAUCAUUCUAAACGAAUGGUUAAUUAAGCGACAUCAUAUUUUAUAAAGUUGAGUAAUCAAAACUAGAAUAUAAAAUUCCGGUAGUUUUUGAAACAGGGGUCCCCUUUUGCUUACGUCGACUUACUACUGGCGAUCCAAUUGAGUUCAAAUAGCAAAAAUGACGAAAGCAUUGAUUUUUUUUUAAUAAAAAAAAACUAUUCAUUUGUUUUGACGUAGCAUUGGAAUUACUUUUGCAAGUAAUCCGCUAACGUCUAUCUCUACCUAUGAAAAUUUAGAAUCACUCCUCAAAACGAUAAAAUAAAUAAAAAUUUAUGGCUUGCAUCACGAAACCCGUCUAUUCUAAAACAUUAAUUUUCAUUAUGAAGAAAAUAUGAAGUAAAUUGUUAUAGAAGGUUAGUUAGUAAUUAUGACAUUGUUCCAAUUGGAGAUUUGGAUUAUAAAAUUUCAUUAUCAAAUUGGAGGGUCACACGUGGCAUUGUGAAACCCUAAUUAAGAAAAGGAAGGUGCAAUAAUUUUAGGAAGAAAAGGAAAGAGGUUUAGCUCACUGUUCACUGUUCAGUAUGCAAUGAGCGACCAAUCUUUUAUUUUCUUUUGACUCUCACACACACACUCUCUCUCUCGUCUCUCACAUACAUAUGUUACAUGUCGUUUUCGCUAAAAAGAGAACUUCUUUCUCUCUCGUGCUUAUCUUGUAAGCUUUUGUAUCACUAUUUUCUCUUAUUUUUUCCACGUUGAACUAAGAAAAACAUAUGCUUGAAAUAUCUUAUCUAUACAGAAAAGAGAAUACUAUACUAAAAGAAGAUAAUGUGUCAUUCCAACAUUUAAAGUUGAGUUAUAUGGUGCAUUGUGAUGUGUUAAUUAUUAAGUUUUCUGUUUUGAUCAUUAUAACACAUAAAUUAUUUAUAUUAAACUGAUAUUAUGAUACGAUUCAUUAAUACAAACCACUAAAUUUAUUUGAAUGAUUAAUCUGUUAAAACAAAAUUGAACUUUCAAAAGAAUAUGCCUUGUCUAACGGAGUGGUCACUGAUCACAAUAUGUAGAAAAUUAAAGGAGUGAACACACACACAAAAAAGGGAUUGUAAGAAAGUUUGAGGUUGACAAUGAAAACAAACUACUAAGUUAUAUGUUCUUGUUAAUGUAUGAAAUUAAAGCAGAACACAAUAGUUGAAAAAGUACUACACUACACAAAUAUAUACGCAAAAAAUAUAUAUAUACAAAGGUAAAAUAGAUAAAGAAUACAUGUACAUAUAUGAUAUAUGCACGUACAUACGUAUAUACAGACAAAGUACAAAGUUAGGAGUUCCGUGGAAAGAUGAAACUCUCUCAUUGUAAAUAAAAUCUCCUAUUUUGGUCAUCCAUUGUUAUCCACUCUUUCCAUUUAUACAUGCCGUCUUCUCCACCUAAUUUAUCGAGCAUCCCAUGCUCUCUCUUCUUUCUCUCUCUUCUCUUUCUCUUUCUCUCUCUCUCUCUCUAGGCCUGCCAUUAUCAGGAGGACCACAUGACUAUAAUGGAAGGACUCGCUGGCUUCUUCUGAGGUUGCUUUCAAUUUUUCUUUCUCAUAACCCAUGAAGAAGACAGCAACAAUUAUCAUAUCCCCAUUUUGGGUUUUUUUCUGCGUGAAUCAUUUUAAGUUGUUUAUAGUGAGACUUGAAUUAAAGUUUCAUCUUUGGUUAGUCAUUGAAUCCUUUUCUUCUUACAAAAGUGGGCAUUGAUUUUGCUUUUCCCCUGAGUGCUUUCAUUAUGUGUUAUAUUAUCUACUUCUGUUCCCAAUUUCGUUGGUUACAAUCUCAUCAGUCACUCAUUAUCAUUCUCAAAGUAGAAAAUUUCAACUUUAUUUUUCUAUAUUUUACUUUCGCAUGUUGUGAUGCGUUUGUCAUCUUUUUUGUUUUCUCUGGUUCUUAGGUUGAUGCCGAAUCAUUUUCUAUUUAUAGCAAAGAGAGUCAAUGCUCUUUUAGAUUACCGUUCAUUUGCGCAAUUUCCUUUCAUGGAAAUAUGUUCUGGAAAAUAAUGUGUGUUUGUCUCCACUUUUCUUCAUGGGAAAACUCAAUAUUGACUUCUUCUUCCUUCCAUUUUACUAAACUUAUUUUUGUUUCUGGAGAAUAAUUACUGACAUUAUAGAAAUGAAAUUUGAAUAUUCUUGUUUUGAAAUGAAAAACAAAAAAAAAAUUAUAAGAAAAUUAAAUAAUGACAACCUCAAUAUUUUGUGCAUAAUGAGGUACUAGAAGUUCGAAUUUCAUCACAGAAUUUCUGAAUAAAUCUUCACUAGAACUUUGUUUAAAAUUAGUCACAAAUUUCAAGGACACAACUUAAUAAAUAAUUCUAAAACCGAACCAUUUUAUUCAAAGAUUUUAUAACUAAUCUAUAUAUAUAAAGAUAGCUUUUUUCUUUUCUGGUGCUGCCACCUCAGCAGCCACCUCAGCAGCCACCUGUACAAUUAUUAUUUUUUAAAACUUUUGUUUUGUCUGAUUUCUCUAAUUACGGCAAAUGAUGAGACACUUUUAAAUAAAUCAAAUAUCACACUACCAUAAAUUAAAAUUAAACAAAAUCAUAUGAAUGGCAACAAUCACGGAAUCACCAUCAAAAGGGAAUUGCAUAAAUAGAUUUUUCGACGAAAGUGAUAUUUUCCAGAAAAAAAACUCAACUCAGCUCAGCUUAACCAUAAACGCUGGAUUUUAUACCAAUCCCAAAAAUGAUCCAUGAAAUCCACGCCAAAUUGGAGUCACCAAUGGCACACCCAAAAAACCAAUUCCAAAGCUGAGAAACCGAUCAGCUCCCCAAUAUGAUGACAAAUAGAGGUAUAUCUAAGAAAUCAUAGGGAGGGGUUAGACCGGCACCGAUUCUGGAAAAAAACACCGCAAGAGUGGAGGAUACCGAAAUUAAACGUCACUGAAUCACCCAAGGAAGAAAGAGAAGGAGGAUGAAAAAAAUGACUCAAUUAGAGACCAAAGGAAUGGGUAUGAACAAAAGGUUGGUCCGACCAAAAUUUCAAUCACCCUCUUUCAAUGGAAGCACCCUCUAUCAUUAAACCAAAAUUCCAACAAUAGAAGGGUUUUGCCAACAUUUAAGAGAGCUAUCGAUUAAUACCUACAAUUAUGAAGGGCUAAAAACGGACACGGCUUUGUAUAAUCAAAAUGAGAUUUCAUAAACAUCGAACGAACAAAAAAAUAUAGCAGAAAAAUAAGCCAAUAUAAAAUAAUACAAAAAAUUACAGACUAAAAAAAAAACUUUCACACUAACCAUCCAAACCCGAUUUCAAUAUAGACAUAUUGUACUUCCACUGACUCAAAGCCUUAUACAAAAUAUACUAACGGAGAAAGUGCUUUCACAAUUACAAAUUAAAAAAACAAAGAAACAAAUACUUCAGAAACAAAAAUAAAUUAACAAGAAUAAACAUAGCACAUCCAUAAUAUAAACCAAAAAAUUAUUAAAAAAAAACUCCCAAAUAACACCUUCUAUAAGAGACAUAAGUUCUCUAGAUAUAAAACUAUAAAAACGGGAAAAAACACGUAUAUAAUAUAAUAGAAAAUGGUAAACGCCUGCGCGUAGCGCGGAUCGUAUAUAUAUAAAACUGGUUCCUUCGAGUUAGUCUGAACUUACUAUUUCGGUUUAUUAUAAGAUCUUUCUUCUUAAUUUUUUUGGUUAAAUAUCGGUUCAAAAGAUUUGAUUACAAAUAUAAUUUACUCAUUUAGUUUACAGGAAUAAAGAGAACGGAUUUUCUCUCAAAUAUUUGAAUUUUAAUGAGAAUCGAACACAUUGUCGCGGCAAACUUAAUGGGAGAGGAAUAAGUUGAUGUAGAGCUUCUUCGAGGUUUAGGGAUAGCGAAAAGAUAGAAAUAUAGCCUAGUUCAUGCUUUCACGCUUAAGUUAUGGAGAUUUGACAACACCAAAGUUUCAUCUAAUACUAAAUAAUCUAGAGACCCCAUAUAUAUUGAUCAGAAUCGUAAGAGAUCAAUGAAAAAAGAUAUUAUUUAAUUAGAAGCAAAUUUGUAACUGUAAGUUUUAAUGUCGUAAAUGUGAAAAAAGUAUAUUAGUUUUUUUUUUAAUUGUGUUUUGUUCAAAAUAACUCGAACUGAACCCACUCCAUGCAGUAGGAAAUGUUAUAGAAUAAAAGUAAUUUAGAAACUAUACUACUUGAUUACUAAACUUCAAUCACACUCAAAUUAAUAAUAUGGCCAAUUUGCUUACUUUGUUUUUGCACCAUGCUUCACAUCUAAAUUUGGUGAAUGAUGUAACAGCCUGUUUACAUACAAACAUACAUCUUUAUUUAUGUGUCAUGUAUAUAUAUAUAUAUAUAUAUAUAUAUAUUAUCAUAAGAAGUCAUGUCUUGAUAUACUUAGCAAAAAAAAAAAGUCAUGUCUUGAUAUGGACCAUAUGGUGUAUAUAAAGUGUGAUUUUAUUUAGUCUUACGAAUAAUCUACUUAUAUAUGAUAAAUUAUCUUUUAAUGAUUAGAAGUUUUAGCCCGAAAUCUAUUAUAGUCCUUCAACCCCGGGAUAAAAGCAUAUUAUAUGGUGUUGUUUAGUUUUAUCUAUACCGUGGUAAAAAAAUAUUACUUAGCGUUUCCUUAUAAAUAAAUAUUUAGAUAACAAAAUCUAAACCAGAUGUUAAAAACAAAAAAUCGAAACCGGAUAGACAUAUACAUUAUAUAUAGUUUAACCUUGAAAAUGAUUUUGGUUGGUGGGUUUGAUAAUUAUCAAACGUGUUCUACUUGGAACUUAGUGUUCUUAAAAGUUUGAUGUCACACAAUGUCGAAGUGGGAAAAGACAUAAGGAAAUAUAUAUAUAUAUAUAUAUAUAUAUUUCAGUGUGUGUAUCAGUGUAUGUGUGUGCGUGUGUAUGAUUAUAUGAACAGAGAUAAGUUUGUACAUGUGUUAUAUCAUGGUUUAGUUAGGUUGGCAGUACUCUAUAAAGUUUUUGAUAUAUCAUCAUGACAAGAAUUGAGGACACUUAAACAAUAUGCGAUGAUAAUAUCCUGUCAAUAACAUAUUCCCAAAUUUAUAAAAAUAAAUAACAUAAUAUUUACGUUAAUUUCCGAUACUCAUUUUCUUGACUUCAACUAUAUGAAAAAAAGAGUUAAAAUUGUCAACAUAGGGUUUUGAUUACUGAAAUUCUUACGAUCUAAACAACCUUUCUUUUUUAAAAAAAAAAAAUAUUAUAAUCAUUUUAUAUUAAAUGUACUUUACUCCGUGUAUUUUGAGGAUAUGAUAAACAAAAAAAAAUUGUUUUGUACAAACUUAUACCUGAUGCAUUUUUCUUUCAAUAUCAUUAAUAAUCUUCUCUUCCAAAGAAGAAUAAAAAAAAAUUUCAUAAAGAAAAUGACAUCCAUGAAAGAUCAAAUAUGAUCAAAGAUCAUUAAGAGAAUAUUUCAAAUUAAAAUAAAGAAUGCAACUCAAGAUAAAUAAGGAAUCAACAGAGAAAGAAAAAAGGGCGAAUAUACCUGACUAUUUGGAACCAUAAAUGACAUAAAGAUAAGUUCAUAUGACUUUUGUGGCUCAUCAAAGGCCAUCAUCGUCCUCUAUAGCAAUAUAGUGCUUUCUAGUACAAACCUUCCACUUCCCUUUGUCCCAAGUUUUCCAAAGUAACUUAUCAUUUACAUAUUAUUACAUAUAUUAAAUCUAUAUGUAUAAUAAUAUGCGAAUAUCUUAUUACCUACCAUUGUCCAAUUUUAUUUUUAGUUAAUCAUGUUUCUACAAAGAACCAAGUUUUUUCGUGUUUCUUUUUUUCUGUUUCUCUGUGGAAUCGUGAUUUUGGUAGUAAAAUCAUUAUAGAUAGGUGUUUGUUAGCCCAGUAAUCUCAAUAUGGGCCCAUAAUGGGCCUUUGUCUUUGAAGGACCAACAUCGAAAUAGUCACGCGUGGCUUAUAGAACGUUGAUCCACGCGCCGCCGGUAAGGAAAACUUGCCGCCACUCCCUUUCCCGCCAAUUUCGACACCAUAAUCUGCCUCGAAAACUUCCAGUCGCUUUCUAUUCCAUUUGGUUAGGAAAAACGCCGCCGCGAAAGGAAUAUUUGCAGAACAGUAGCCGAAGGGUUUCCGCUUUAUCUAUCUGCCAAUGGAGGGCAAUUUCGAGGAGCAGAACAAGCUUCCGGAGCUUAAAUUAGGUAAUGCAAAACCCUAGUUUUUUCUUUUUUUUUUUUUUAUAUCGUGUUUGAUUUUUCAUAUGGUUUAUGGGUUUUGAAAAAGGUCUGAUAUUGGUUGCGUUGUGAAAUUUUUGAAUUUUUGGUAGAUGCUAAGCAGGCUCAAGGGUUUCUCUCGUUCUUCAAAACUCUACCAACUGUAAGUCUCGUUUUUUUUUAGUUGUUGUUUCUUUCUAUUUCUGGGAAAAUUACAGAUUGAGUCCAUAACCGUAGUAAAUCCCGCCGAUUUAAGUGGGAAAUGAGAUGCUUUAAGAUAAGGGAUUAAGCAAAUAUAUGCGUUUGUUCAUUAUUAGCGAUUUCUCGAUUUAUUCUUAUAUUGCUUUUGAUUGUUCUUUGCUUUCAGGACUCGAGAGCUGUUAGGUUCUUUGAUCGCAAGGUGAGUUCUGAAUGUCCAACUUUUGUUAGUUUUCACUGGUCUGGGUUUUGGUUGUUUAAUCAAAUGUACAUGAACCUUUGGUUUCUGUAUUAAAGAAUCUUCUUCUGUCGUUGAUUUAUUGGAAAAAUAUCAAAUUCUUUUGCAGGGCUAUUAUACAGCUCAUGGAGAAAACUCAAUCUUCAUUGCAAAGACUUACUAUCAUACAACUACUGCUCUACGUCAGCUCGGGAGUGGAUCAAAUGCUCUUUCAAGCGUUAGCAUCAGUAAGAACAUGUUUGAAACGAUUGCUCGGGAUCUUCUCCUGGAGCGAAAUGAUCAUACCUUAGAGCUUUACGAGGGAAGUGGAUCGAAUUGGAGACUUGUGAAAACAGGUUCUCCUGGAAACAUUGGGAGCUUUGAAGAUGUUUUGUUUGCAAACAACGAAAUGCAGGACACGCCCGUUGUUGUCUCCUUGUUUCCAAAUUUUCAGGAGAGCAGAUGCGUUAUCGGGAUGGCUUAUGUUGAUCUAACCAGGCGGAUUCUUGGACUAGCUGAGUUUCUUGAUGAUAGCCGCUUCACCAACCUGGAGUCUUCUCUGGUUGCCAUUGGCGCAAAAGAAUGCAUUUUUCCAGCUGAUUCCGGCAAAUCCAGUGAAUGCAAAAGCCUGUAUGAGUCUCUGGAGAGGUGUUCUGUGAUGAUAACAGAGAGGAAGAGACAAGAGUUCAAAGGACGAGAUUUAGAUUCAGAUCUAAAGAGAUUGGUGAAGGGGAAUGUUGAACCUGUUAGAGAUUUGAUAUCCGGGUUUGAGCUUGCGACUCCUGCUCUAGGUGCAUUACUCUCGUUCUCUGAACUUCUUUCGGAUGAGGGUAACUAUGGAAACUUCUCAAUCCGCAGAUAUGAUAUCGGCGGAUUCAUGAGACUCGACGCUGCAGCUAUGAGGGCGUUGAAUGUGAUGGAGAGCAAAACUGAUGCUAAUAAGAAUUUCAGUUUGUUUGGUCUCAUGAACAGAACAUGCACCGCAGGGAUGGGUAAGAGACUGCUUCACAUGUGGCUAAAGCAACCUCUCGUGGAUUUGAAUGAGAUUCAGAUGAGAUUAGAUAUAGUUCAGUGCUUUGUUGAAGAAGCUGGGUUAAGGCAAGAUCUUAGACAGCAUCUGAAGCGAAUCUCAGAUGUUGAAAGACUUGUGCGGAGUCUCGAAAGAAGAAGAGGCGGGUUACAGCAAAUUAUCAAACUCUAUCAAGUACUUUCCGUACUCUAAUCUGAUUCUAUGUACUUAAAGUUUCUGUAGGUAUUUUCUUAAGUUUCUAUGAAUUUCAUUAUUAAUUCAGUUUUCAUCUUCGCUGUGCAGUCAACGAUAAGGCUUCCCUUCAUCAAAACAUCUCUGCAACAGUACACCGGAGAAUUCUCAUCACUCAUCAGCAAGAGAUACAUGAAAAAGCUUGAGGCUUUAACAGACGCAGAUCACCUCGGCAAGUUCAUUGAGCUGGUAGAGUACUCUGUAGAUCUUGACCAGCUAGAAAAUGGAGAAUACAUGAUAUCUUCAAGCUACGACACCACAUUAUCAUCUCUGAAAGACCAGAAAGAAUCGCUGGAGCAGCAGAUUCACGAAUUGCACAAAAAGACGGCUAUGGAACUUGAUCUUCAGGUGGACAAGGCUUUAAAACUUGACAAAGCAGCGCAAUUUGGGCAUGUGUUCAGGAUCACGAAGAAGGAAGAGCCAAAGAUCCGGAAGAAGCUGACGACACAGUUUGUAGUGCUGGAGACUCGCAAGGACGGAGUUAAGUUCACAAACACAAAGCUUAAGAAACUUGGGGACCAGUACCAAAGUGUUGUGGACGAUUACAAGAGCUGUCAAAAGGAGCUCGUUGAUCGUGUAGUUCAGACUGUUGCCAGCUUCUCCGAGGUAUGUUUAGUUAUUCAUAUUAUGUAUUGGACUUACAAAAUUGGUUAUCUUCAAAUAGUAAAAUAUAUUAUAUAUAUAUAUAGAAUUUAUAUGUAUAUUGUAUGGUUUAGGUGUUUGAGGAGUUAGCAGGGUUGCUCUCUGAAAUGGAUGUUUUGUUAAGCUUUGCUGAUUUGGCAGCUAGUUGCCCUACUCCAUACUGUAGGCCAGAAAUCACAUCUUCGGUAAUCUAAUCUCAAGUUGAUUGUUUCGUUUUUUUUUUUUGCAAUUUUAUAUCAUAAUAUGAGAGAAUGCUUUAUAAAUUGCAGGAUAUGGGAGACAUUGUAUUAGAAGGAAGCAGACAUCCAUGCGUAGAAGCUCAAGAUUGGGUGAAUUUUAUACCAAAUGACUGUAGACUUGUAAGUAUUGUGAUGCUAAAAUAAACCAGACAGAGCCUUUGUUAUUCUGUGUUUCCCUAUUGACUUGAAGCAAUUCCUUUUUUCCGCUUUUAUUGUUCUGUAAAAUCAGAUGAGAGGCAAGAGUUGGUUUCAAAUAAUAACAGGGCCUAACAUGGGAGGGAAGUCCACUUUCAUUCGCCAGGUAUGAUGAUUUCUUAUAGUCCCAUUUUGUUGCAUAGGCAUAAGAUUAAAAUCUGUUUCCUGCCAUUGUGAAUUCCAGGUCGGUGUGACCGUACUGAUGGCUCAAGUUGGUUCAUUUGUUCCUUGUGAUAAAGCUUCAAUUUCUAUCAGAGACUGUAUCUUCGCCCGUGUAGGAGCAGGCGAUUGCCAAGUGAGUUUAACUUGCUGCUUCUUUGUUAUUGGACCUUCUGAUUUCUUCAAACUCCAAUCGUUUUCUUCCUUUUGUGUUUUAGCUACGCGGAGUGUCUACUUUUAUGCAAGAAAUGCUUGAAACCGCUUCGAUAUUAAAAGGAGCUACUGAUAAAUCACUGAUAAUAAUCGAUGAACUUGGCCGUGGAACAUCAACCUAUGAUGGUUUUGGUUAGUUUAACUGCAAUGUCUCUUGAUUUAUUUAGAUUUUGAGUGAAUUUGCUAUGAUAUGUUGGUAACAUGAUCUUGGUGACAACAUUAGGUCUCGCAUGGGCUAUAUGUGAGCAUCUGGUUCAAGUGAAGAAAGCCCCUACUCUGUUUGCUACUCACUUCCACGAACUUACUGCUUUGGCUCAAGCAAAUUCUGAGGUCGCAGGUAACACUGCUGGUGUUGCAAACUUCCACGUCAGCGCACACAUUGACGCAGAAAGCCGCAAACUCACCAUGCUGUACAAGGUUGGUUCAAUUAAACCGUAUCUGCUCCAUCCCAAAAAGAAGAUUUCUAUGCGCUGAAUCUUGAAUUUCUCUCUUGCAGCCUCUUUAGUAAAAGCGUCUCUGUUUGAUUUUCUUACAAACAUGAAAUUAGAUUGUUCUGAUGUGAUGUUUGUCUGGUUAGGUUGAACCAGGGGCAUGUGACCAGAGCUUUGGGAUUCAUGUGGCUGAGUUUGCCAACUUCCCUGAAAGCGUAGUGGCACUCGCAAGAGAGAAGGCUGCAGAACUGGAAGACUUCUCUCCGUCUUCCAUGAUUAUCAACAACGAGGUCUGGAUUCGUUUGUCCCAUUUGUAUCUGGUUGGAGUUGGGAAUCUUCCGCAUCUUCUCCAGUUUAAAACAUAUCAACUGGAGACUUUUGACAAGGAUGAAAUUCUUGUCUUGUUGUGUUGCAGGAGAGUGGGAAGAGAAAGAGCAGAGAAGAUGAUCCAGAGGAAGUAUCGAGAGGUGCAGCACGAGCUCACAAGUUUCUGAAAGAAUUUGCAGAGAUGCCACUUGAUAAAAUGGAGCUUAAAGAUUCACUUCAACGCGUACGUGAGAUGAAAGAAGAGCUAGAGAAAGAUGCCGUGGAUUGCCACUGGCUCAAGCGGUUCCUGUGAAACAGCUUUGCAUUUCACUUUGACUUGUUUUUUGAGGGUGUUAUUCCUUUAUGUAGUUAUAUGGGAAUGAUUUCGUAAUCUUUAUAGGAUUUUAGUUAAUCUUUGUAAAUGUGUAUGUUCUCCCUUGGAUUUGAAUAUUUGUCGUAUUUUUAACUUGAAACUCAUUCCACAUCCACAAAAUUCUCUUAUGAAAUCAGAUCCAUAACUAAAUCGUUAACAAGUGAUUUAAAACCAAUGAAUCUUAAACUCUAAAAAUCUUCAUAAAUCAAUGUUUCAAUAACCACCUUGAUCUGAGCCUUGAAUUCAUACGAGCAAAGAGAAAGUUGUACAAAAACUUCUUUCGUCCCCAUUUCCACCAAGUGGGAACCCGAACAAGCUUCUUUUUCACCUGAUUUACUGUAAAACCAGUGAGAUUUUAGUAAAAGAAAGUACAAUGAAGAAUGAUGCACUUUUUUUUUUUUUUUUUUUUUGGUGUGGGAAGGAUCACUUACUUUUGUUUUCGAUCAGACGUGUUUCCCACUCUGAGAGUAAUUUGGAGUAGGCGGUAGCAAGUGAUGGCCAGAACUUCAUUUGAAUAUUCAGUACAUCAAGAACAGUUUGCAGGCCAGCUCUUGAAGGCGCGUUAGCGAUAGGCAAGUCAUUCUCCGGAUUUUCACCCAGAAGCACCUUUAUUAGAUUAAACGGGAUCAUGAAUAAACGUUAAGUCUCCAUAACAAUAUGCAGAUUUUGAAAGAUAUGGAGUUUGAAACAGAGAUUAACCUUGAUCACUGCUGUAGCAGAAGAAGAUAUGGAGCGAAGAUUGUAGCUGCAAAUAAUGACAAACAAAAAAGGCUUUAAAAGCUGUCACUUGAAAACAACACGAGACUAUUGGUAAACUCCAGAAACACGUACCCGCCCUCCAGAAUAACUAGCAUUUUUCCGCCGCAUAGAUCACCUAACAUCUGUGUCAUUCGAGAAUAACCAGCCGGAGUUACCUGAAAGUACGUGCAAACUUGAUCUAUUAAAACCAAUAUUGAAUUGUCAACAGGUUGAACAGAACAUCCUCUAAUGAGGUGCACACGACAAUAUUGAUUCCGAAAGUUGUCAAUUACAGCCCUAGGAAUAUGAAGCUUACAUCACAGCAGCCUAGUGGGUCUCCUCUAGCCGCAUCAAAUCCCGCUGAUACGAUAACAAAAUCAGGAGAAAAUGCAGAAGCUGCAAGGGAAAGGGUUCCAGUUGAAAUCAGACCCAGUACAGAUUGAACGCCAGCUCAAAAGAUCAGUUCACUUGCGAAAGCUUAUUAGUAAUUAGGCCAAAGCCUGGUUUGUCGAAACCAGACAUUUGUAAGGACUAGCGUUGAAACAAACUCAAAAGGGGAAUACAGAACACGACUCUGUACCUAUGGGAAGAACUACAUGCUGAAAGGCAUAGAUGUAGUCUUUAUCACCAACUCCACCGCAGCUCCAUGGAACAUUUACACAAUAACCUUCAGCACCAUUUGUACCAACCUGCACCACAUAAUUAAUAUUAGGGAACUAUAGCUUUUGCUGCAUAGAGAAAAUAAAAAACUGAUUCCGGAAACAAGGUUAAGUAAAUAUAGCUAAUGUAUAUGCAUUUACAACUGCAACUAAAUCUACCAAGGAAUGCUGGAUGAGACUGUAAAACAGAAAAGCAUGGGUACCUCAUCAGCAGCUCCAGUACCGGGAUAGAAGUUUCCUCCUUCAUGUCUGUGCAAGGAAAUGUACAAUACCUAUACAAUUGUUCCCAAUAAUUAGUAUAAAAAAGGUCAAUUCACAAAAAUAAUUUACUGCAUCCAAAACUCCAAGAAUUAAUGAGGACACAUCCAUAGAGUUAGGCAGCUUACAGAUUUGUUUUGCUCGAAUAUCUCUUGGGUUCCAUUUCCAUGAUGAACAUCCUGCAACAAUAAAGAAGAUGAUUAAGAAUUAAGAAGUUUGAAGUUCUACAAAACCACCCAGCAUUGAGAUAUCAGCGACAUUACCCAGUCCACAAUCAGCACCUUCCUUGCCCCUGCUGCUUGUGCUACUAAUGCAGCAACUGCUGCAUUAUUGUGAAGGCAAAACCCCAUAGCAUGUCUAAUGCCAGCAUGAUGACCGGGUGGUCUUACCUGAAACAAUCAGAUAAGCUUCAGCACGGAUAUGGUGUAAUUCCAAUUUCAAGCAGAUCCGUAGUUGCAUCUUUAAAUUUUGAAAUUAUGUGAAUUUGACAUACCAGAGCGAAACCAUUUUUAACGCGCCCAGAGAAAAUUUCUGUAGCUAGAUCAGCGCACAAACCUGCUGCAAGUCUAGCAGCUCGUGCUGAAUACUCAUUAGCAUAUGUGUCGGAAGUGAAGUAGCUGCCAGACAGUGGGACAAAGAUGAGCGGUAAGAGUAAUAACAGACAAAUGAAGAACAGCUUAGGCAAAGGAGACAAACAAAUUAGGUAAGGAAGCACGUUUUGCAUCCUGAACACUGCAAAGUAUCAGAUGGUGGGGAGACAAAAUGGUUUAAAUGCAAACCUAUAGAGAAGCUGGCUUGUAAUAUCAACAGCGUCAACAUGGUCUGAAGUGUGGACCUAAAAAUUGUCAAAUAUAAACCUGUUAACAAAUUGUUUGCAAAAGUAAUGCAAUAAACAAACCACUCGCAGUUAGAGAUGUCUCUAAUAAAAUUAAGUAGCAGCUCACCAUCUGGAGUUCUUGUUUCGUGAUUUCCCUUGCAUGAAUAGGCAAGCAUCUGCCAGGAAAAACGCCUGCAAAUUUUCAAAUGUGGUGAAUACAAAAUCUACUCCCAGGCAGAACGGAAUAUUUUAAUAUGCUUAACGACAAUAAACCAAUAUACCAGCUGUGGCAAGACUAGCAGCUAUAGCUCGAAGACGAUCAGGUCUCUCGGGAUGUGGAUGUGCCUUCACUUCAAACUAAUCAAAGCAUACCAAAAACACAUAUAUAAAUGGAUUACUUGCACGGGGGAAAACUUUGGAGAUAAUAAAGUGUAUUGAUGUCAACAGAUACAUGAAAGGCUUUUUCAGAAGGACCCGGUGUCAUAGUCAUAAUAUAGAUUUCUCAGGAAAAAUAUAAGGGUAACAGGAUCAUACUUCUGAGUGUAGCAACAUUCUCUCGUCGAACCCAACAGCUGUCGAGCUGGUUGCAGAUGAGCUUCCUAAGAUCAAGGGAAAAGAGAAGUGAACAUGCUUAGAUAAUGUGGAACAGAAAAACAGUAUUUCUCAAGGACAUGAGUUCAAAAGAAGCAAAACAAGUAAUUCCUACCUCCACAUUUCUCUUCGACUUCAGUGAGACCAGUGUCUUUGCAAAACGGAGAUGCAAAAUAUCCAUGCCUCAGGAUACCAGAUUCCUUGUGCUCACCACAUAUCUGCAUCAACAUAUAAACUUUACUGAGCAUAUGUCACUUGAGAUCACAUUUAGAGCACAAUUGCAUACAUUGGUAAUACUAAAAGCACCACAUCAGCAGCAAAAGCAACACUAUUCAAAUAUGAAAAAAAAAAGUAAACAAAGACGUACAUAACAAUGAACCAUAUCACCAGGAUUCGCCAUAGUGCAAUUGACGCAACACCAUUUCACAAACUCCACGGGCGUCUGCACAGGUUCCCAAUUACUAUCAUCCUCCUCGUCUUCUUCAUUAAGCAACGUAUCCGCACCGUAAAUAUCUUGAAACGUCAUCUCCCUUGAAACCCUAGCUCUUUUCUGCAUAAGACAUAACAAUGACCGAUAUCACCAAAUGCAGAGCACAAAUAACCGUGGAAAAUGCAAUAAGAGGAAAGCCAUGGUUUUUAGCUUACGGAUGAAUCACCAGGAGCAGCAUUAAUGUCUCCAUUGCUAAACUCAUCUUCCGAACAAGGAACAGCGACAUCACCACCGUUGCCGAGUUUUCUCUUUGAACCCUCACAGGAGCUCUCUAGAGUUUCUACAAUCAUUGUUACCUCACUAGUCACUGAAACUACUGAACCAGCUGGAAAAAAUCUCUCGCGCUGUGCCAAAAUAGAAGUAAAGAAAAAACCCAAUUGAGGAUUUGCAGAACAAAAGGCUUCUCGAGCAUAUAAUUUUUUUCUCGAGUAUUUUGUAAUCGAUCGACGAUCCUGAACUCACGAAUUGCCUUUUCUCUAUGGAAACCAAAAAAAAAAUCAAGCGACGGAGCAAAAACUUACCUGAAGAACUUCUUCCGGCGAAACCUUCCAGGAUAGCGCAAACAGCAGAGAUGGGAAACGACGACGUCGUUUAGAUUACAAAAUUUAAAACAUUAUUUGAGCUGAUUAAGACCCAAUGUGAGUAUAGGCCCAUUACGUCAACUACCCUUUUGUCUCAAGAACUACCCUUUAUUUGAUUUCUAAUUUUCUCCUGUCGGUAUUAGAAAACCUAGCCACUUUGGGCUAUAUAACUUAUAAGAAACACCAACAAAAUUAAUUUUUAGCUUUUUAGCUUUUUCAUGCAUAUUAAUUUUUAUUUUAUUUUUGCAGAGGUAAACACCAACCUCUUUAGCUUUUUCAUGCAUAUUAAUUUUUAUUUUAUUUUUGCAGAGGUAAAUAUAUCCUCUACAAUCCCUUGUUAUUUACUGGUGAUUUGGGAAAAUAAAACUAAAAAGUGAUAUUUGGGAAUGUCGUAUAAAUUAUUAUGAUCACCUAAAAAUUUAUAGUUUCAAGUAGUCAAUUUAGUAUAAGGAAUGCAUAUAUAACUUAAAAAGAAAUCAGAUGUCAAUUUUUUUAUCAUCAAUAUAUACAGUAUAUAUAAUAAUACAGUUCGCAUAAUGUCCCAUGUUUUAUAAAGAAUUAAACCAUCCGUUUACAAGAAAAAUAUUAAGAUGGGGGGGGGGGGGGAAAUAGUAUAUAUCUAUAUAUAGUUGAUAAGAAAAAUAUUGUGGGAGAUAUAUACAUACAACACAGACCUGCGUAAACAUGAGAGAAAAACAACGGGAAAGGUAAUGAUGUAAAUCUGUGAGCAAUUCCUUCUCAUACCUUUAUCAUCAUCUAUAUACAUGCAUAUACAAAUGUGUGUAUUGAUGACAAAAUUACUCGUGCGAACAAAGAAGCAUAGUAAUACAUUUUCCAAUAAUGUAGAACGUUCCUCUCUUCUUUUUUACAAACUCCCCAACUCCUUUUGGUGAAGAAGACUUCUUCUUCUUCUCCCAGUUCUUCACUGCCUCUUCCUUUGACUUCUCCCUCAUUAUUUUUCUCUAUCUCUCUCUCUAUAUAUAUAAGUUUUUGGUUUUUUAAUUAUGAGGUUCAGGUGUAACUUGAUGAUUGUGUGAUAUUUAGGGGGGUUUAAAAGGAAGUGAAGAUUCAUCAUUAUAUGGGAGAGAGAGAGAAAGAACAAAAAAAAAAAGAGAGAUAAGGAGAACUAUUCCCCACCAUUGAUUCGGGACCUUUCAACGAAACAACCCAAAAACAAAUUAAGGCCACUUGGGGAGUGUGACCGACUAGCUUCCCAUUAUGUUUGAAAAUCGUUGAUGUAUUGUUUUCUUGUCUCCUUUCGAUUCAAAGAGAUGUUUUGAUGAAUUUAUUCAGUUUUAUUGGGAUAUAUGUUAGAACAUAUAUAGUUAUGCGGACCGUCCAAAUCUGAUUUUCUGUUAAAUUUGUCAUGCAAACUAACCUAUGGUUAACUGCUAAAUCAUCAAUUUUAUCAACAAAAAAAAAAAACUGCCAAAUCAUUUUAAAAAUGACCGGAUUGAAGGAUUCGAGUUCGGGUUUGCAUAUACACUAGCAUAGUUAUAAAUUUCAGUAAACGAAUAAACAAAAAAGAAGGCACGGGUCCAAAGAGUUACCGUGGAACAUAUUACAAAUUGCAUAUAAAGAAUUCCAACGAAUACGUAUAAUCACUAGUUAAUUUACUUAUAUUUAGUGUCCAUUAGGUUUAUAAAAAAGAAAUCCGACUAAUACAUACAUAUAUAUAUAUAUAUAUAAAAUUAGGUUUACGAUAAAGAUUUAAUUAAGACUCUUAUGCAGUUAUGCUUAUGCAUUAUAUUUCGGGUAUACAUUUUUUUAUAUACUUCUAUCUUUCAUUUAGAACAAAGAACAUAUUAUAUACUAGCAUUGUAAGACUCAAUCUAAUCUUAAAUCUCGUUUCUAAAAAAAAAAAAACUUAUCAUAAUUCUCUCAUUUUAACAUUUAACUGUUAAAAUCGAGAGGUUGGCCAACAAACAAAUUAAAACUGUAAAAAUCUGUGACGUACAUUACUAUAGCUUUCAAAAUAAAUCACCCACUUUACUGAUUCCAAUCAUUAUGAUAUUUGGCAUUUAAAUCUCUGGUCAUCUAAUAAUUCAAAUCCAUGAAUGAAAUAAGGUCAUGUCAGUCUUCCUUACAAUAUGGACAGCUCAUUUUCGGGUAAAUCGCUAGGGACCUCAGUACAAUGAAACAUACGUUCAUAAUUAAAAGCUUUUGUGUUGUAAUAUAAUAGACUAAUAGUGAACCACAUAUAUACUUUAUAUAAAAUAUCAUACCUGACGCCAAGAAAGAAUGAGUUGAACCUUGUUAUGCAUAGACAAUAGUUACAUUAUUUUCACGAAUACCAUGCACUGGUUUAUGAGUUGGGUUAAAUAUCAUAUCAAAACGUUUUGAUAAGAAUGUAAAAAUAAAUAUGUUCGGUGCUUGGCAAAAAAAAAAACUUACAUUAUACAUGAUCGUUUUUAAGAAUAUCUGACGCACAUAUUUUUCUUUCAAAUAAAAGUGUAAUUUUAAGCAAUUGUUUCAAAUCCUGUUUCUUAGUAUUUUGGCGGUGCAUUUGCUACUUUUUUUCUUCUCCUGUAACAAACAACGUUUAUUUCUCUUUCCUUUUGGUUUUGAGUACUAUAGUAAGACUUGAUUUUUUGUCUGUUGCCGGCAAUUGAAAUUAUAUAAUGUUGAAAAUGGUACAGCUACCACCACUUAGUCUAGAAAAACAUAUAUAAUCAUGAUUUAUUUUAUUUUCUUUUGUUUUAUAUGAAACAUUUGGUGAUUCCAUCUUUUAUUUUAUUUAUGAUUAAGAUUUUGGUGAUUCUACAUGGAAAAAGUGUAUUAAUUGAAUCCAAAACUCUGAUUAAACAAAAUUUAGAGCUGUGACAAAGAUUUAUCAAUUCUUUCAGAUAAGACGAAAAUCAGAUAAUAAUUUUGAACUAAGAGAUCGAUAAAAUUCCAUAGCCCUACAAGCUUCUAAAAAUAGAUAUUAGGACCACAGAAAAGUACAAUUUUCUGAUUCUGUUAGUAGUUAGAACCUUAAAUGAUAAAAAAAUCUAGGAGAGUAUUCACAAAUAAAGAUUAUAUUAAUUGUUUCCAGGUUUAAUGUUAAGUCUAUUAGGCAUGAAGAAGGAUAAUUUGGGUUUAAAUCCAAAACAGAAAAUAUUCAAAAACUGCUUUUAAAUCUAUGGAGAUUAGGACUUCGUAAUCUAUAAUUUGUAAACUUUUUUUGGUCAACCUAAAAUUUGUAAACGAAAAACUAAAAACCAAAAAAAAAAGAGAAUCAAAUUUAGUACUUUCAUUUUCAAGAAAAAGUGGAAAAUCACAUGGGAAAAAUUAUAGAUAUUCGAACGUAGCAAGUGAAAGGUCGAAUCCGUCAUAUCUUUUUCAUUAUGAUUGAAGAAGUAAUCAAACUUAAUGACGAUCUUAUAUAAAACACGAAAGGCCAAUGGGUAGGGGAUGCACCGUGCACGUGAAGUUCAUGAUGACAAGACAUCCCUUGCCUGUUGUGUUGGCUGUUGCACUCAAUACAACCUUUUUUUGGGUAUGACACUCAAUACAACCUUAAUUCGUGAUAAUAUGAUUUUGGUUUUUGGUUUAUUGGACUUUCUUUCUAUUUAUUGAAUUAAUUGGCUGCUCCAUCUGCACUCCACAAAAUGUGGGGACUUAUACCCUCUGGUUAUGUGUUUUUUCUUGCCAACUUGGCUUUAUGUAAAUCCAUCAACCUGAGACCAUUCCUAUUUUUACGUGUAAUAUAAAGUCAAACAAAAAUAGUAAAUGUUAGAUGGCAUGCUCUAAUAUCAUCUCUUUUUAUUUCCAACAAUCCUUAUAAAAUAACACUGACAAUUCAAUUUAGGAUAAGAUAUAACAUACAGGACUGCAAAAACACAUAAGAAAUCGGGCUGGCCACUAUAUAUUCUAUUAAUUCAGGGAGAUCGGAACUAAGAAUACAUAUGGGGUCUGAAGUUAUGAAACCUCUUUAUGUGUUUACCGGUUGAUAUAUCAGCCUAACCAUGUUUCCAUACUUAUUAUAUAAUAUGAGUCGAGGUUUUAUUUCAUCAGCGAUUCAUCAAUUCUUGAGAGGAGAAAGAAUUUGUUAUGAUAAAGCAAACUGGGAUAAACAGACAUGUGCCGGCGCCGAUCAACCGUAAUGAAUAUAGAGGAAAAUGGUGUUUUGUAUAUACUUACUCUGGUGCAAUUGUGGUAUGCUAUGCAGCCUAUGCUCCCCCAAAAAACCAAUACACAGUAUACAGCUCCAGUCUCUUUCCUGUUAAUUAAUGUUCUUUUUGUUUAACUUUUUUUUGUUUAAGUUUUAAAACCCACAUUUUAUGUUAUGUUUUAGGCAUGUCUUCACUGUGCGGAGUUUACCCUGAAAAUUCAGGAGAUGAACUGACCCUACUAAAAGAAGAUUUUCAUUGAUCACAUAUACAAAACAUACAAAUUCAGAUAUUAGUAUCCAUUUUGGGCAUUUUUGAAGUUGUAAAUUUGUAAUGGUGAAAAACAUGGAAUGAUGACAUUCUCUCUAGGAUGUGACUGCUGAAUCAAUGAAGUAACAUGAAGAAAAUAAUAUAAUAGAAAUGAAUAGUAUAAAAAAGAAAAAAAACGAAGCUAAAAACAAAAUUUAUUGAUCUUCUUUUUGAUUUGAUUGGUGGAAAAUUAUCUAGAGUAAUUGCACUCUUGGCUAAAAAGUGCUAUAUAAGCUAACUUUUUAGACUUAUAUUUAAAUGGAAUUUUUAAAAAUAUUUAUUAAAAAUUUAUUAAAGUCUUUAUUCUAAAAAGUCCAAAAAAUGUACCCGACAGAACACUUCAAAAGUUCAAAGUGAACCGGAUCGGUCUCAAAUCCUUUGUUUCGAUCGAACCUCUAAAAAAGUUGGCACCGUAAAACCGUUCUUACCAAUUGAAAAAUCAAAUGUUCCAAAAAUAACACAGCAAUCGUAGUGUGAGAGAGAGACUUGUUAGUGUAUUUUUGUGUUUGCUUAAAUGAGUUAUAGAAGAAAAAACAAAUAACAACAGAUUAUGGAUUUGAUUGGAACAGCUGUUCUGAUGUAAUAAGAAUUUAGUUUGCUCUUUAAUAAUACUAGACCACACCAAAGACCGAAAGAGUGAAAAAAGAAAAGAAAACAAAACAAAAAUAAAGAUCUCUGGUUGACAAAAAAAAAAAUCUCUCUUGGGCAUUUCAUCGAACACUUUGAAUGCAUGCUCCCACGCACAUAAGAAAAGCUAAACGGAAUCUUCACUGAUCUGACCAAGAUUCUCUUCUUCUUGUCUCUUCUUCAUUUCCUUUUCAUAUUGCUUUAACGCUUCCUCCAUCUUCAUCUGCGUAAAACCCAAGUGUCAAGCAAAAAAAGAUAUAAAAACCACCACAGUCUAGGAUCGAGGACAACAUUUCUUAGAGGAAGACAUAGAGAAAAAGAAGAAGAAGCUGACCUUGUAGCUAACUUCGAUGCGAUGCAUUACGUAGAAUCCGAGAGUUCCGCCGAGAAGUGUUCCAGCUAUGAUCCGUGCGUAACCCCAUGUCAGCGAGCUCAACGCCAUCUCCCCGCUUUCUUCUCUUCUUCCUUUGCCUAGACUCUACAAAGUUCCAAUUUUUCAACUCUCAAUCUCCCAGGCUUUAGAUCUCCUUCACAAUUUUCAUUUACCAUCAAAUAGGAACCGUACCAAUUGAUUCGAUUCGCUCCUUUUCGGUUCGAUAAUUUUCGCACCUAAACCCAGCUUAUAUCCGGUUCGGUUCAGAUAUGUAAUAAGAAUAAUAAAAUGGUGGAUAUAUCAAAAUGAAGAAAAGUGAAACAAUUUUGGAUGCAAUAGGAAAGCUGAAAGAUAUAAUUCUGAUUAUCUCAUUUUCAAUUACAUGUACGUUCGACGAAGUCGGUAUGAUACCGUAGGACCGAGAAUUUUGGUUCGGUUAUAAUUGUAGACAAAUUUAGUUAAUGGUUAAGCAAAAAUAUAAGCCCUUCAACCGUCCAGUUCAAAGAAAAAUUCGGAAACAAGUGCCAAGUGAUCGCUUCCCAAUUCCUGAAAAAAACAAAGACGAAGAAGGCUAAAGAAGCAUUAGGCACCAUUGUGUUUAGUAACGAAACCAAGUUCACCAAACAAAUUUUUAAACAUACUUGACAAGGGAGGCCUCUGGUUUUGCAGAGAACAUCGGUGGGAAUUGUAUCAAGAACUCUCGCAGGUACAAGACCAUCAGAGUACCUGAAACCAGACAUAUGUGUUUCCAAAUUGAAUCAUCAGCCAAGUAUUUAUAUUUCUCAAUUCGGUUUUAUUUUUAUUUACACAUGUUAUUACCAGAGGUAAUCAACCGUUCCCAGAAAUUUCGAGUGAUACGAGGUUGCUAGAGGUUCACCAACAGAGUCCCUAGUAUUUGUUGAGCCCUGUCGUGUACAAACCAUGAUCAUAUUCAGUUUUUUUAUGCAGAUUCGAAAUACAUAUAUAAGGACAGUUUAUUUCACUCUUUCUUUGUAAUGCAUAGGCUGUACAUCUGUGUAUGUUACCUUAACUGAGGCAUAUGAGCUACGGAGUUUCAAGGGAUGCACAGCCCAGUACGAGUUCUCUUGCCCGGUCGCGACACGGAUCUCUUCGUUGGUCCAAGAGCUACUUAAGCAUCUGAAGCCAAUGAGUAUCAAAACUGGUUUUAACUUCUAAUAUUUGUAGUUAUGAGACAAAAGCCUCAAACCACAAGUGAGCACAAUGGAUAUUUUCACCAGGCAGUCACUAAACAACCCUUAACGGCAGACCUGAUCUAAUCUUUCUUUACAAAAUAAUCUUACCUGCUUAUCGAAGUUAUUGUACUACUAGAUUUUCUUCCUGUCUCAAGAACUUGGUUUGAAUGACAAUUUCUCUGGCCAGACAACUCUCUUUUGUCAUGUUUCAUAAUAUUCAGCUGAAAGAUAGAAACAUAAUCCAACUAUAAGAAACCAUAUAUUAGCCGACAAAUGAGCAGUUUAACUGAAGCAAGACUCUGUAAAUUAAUGUUCGUACCUCAGCGGACGCCAAGAAGUUGUACAAUGGACUCUGCACGUGAUUAGAUAAUAUCAAUUAUAAUGAGAUAAACAAAUCACACAAUACCAAAGUGGAUGCGUUAUUUUUUAGUUCAAAUGUACCUGGGGUGUGCUAUUGAAAUCUCCGCCUAGAACAAUGGGAAUAUCACCCCACUUCUUAGAGAGCAAGUGAGCCUUUGAGCAGAGCGAACGGAUCUAUCAAAUCAAUAUUCAGAAUUAAGCCAUGGAAACAAUUAGGAACUCUGGCAAAAAACACAAAGCUAUGUAUUCACACGGACACUUACCUGACCCAGCUUCACAUCUCCUCUACUUGGAUUAUAAAGAACGUGAAUGUUACCCACCAGUAGCUUUCUUGACUUAGACUUCCGCAGCUGAUAGAAGAACACCAUAGAGCACUGGAUCAAUACCUAAGCAUAUAUACAUGAAUAUGUUAAAACAUUAUAAGAAAAGGAUUGGUACCUCGAGAACAGAAAGUUGUGCAACAUUAUCACGCAUCCCAAACCGGCUAAACUCAAUGUUUUCCCUCUCCAAAACACGAAACCUUGUCAAAAAGAACAUAAAUCUUCAACAAUAUAUACCGAGUUGAUCAUUCUGUCCGUUUUAUCUUCACGCUGAUACAGAUUGAGUCAAGCAAACUUUUGCUACCUGUCGGCCUUCCAAAACAUUGCGCACCCGUCAAUGUUAUCUCCAGUUCGCCGCUGCCAUUGCAAAGCUUAUAUUUGUAGUCCUUCUAUAUAAACAAAAACAAAAACUUUGCAGAUAGGCUUCAUCAGACGAAAAGGUAAAUGAAACCAACCAAACGAUGUUUUUACAUGUCAUUCCACUCAUUUUAUCAACCUAGCAAAUAUCAUUGAUCAUAUGGGACACAAGGAAGAAAAUAAACCUUGUAGGAGCCAGCAUAUCCAGCUUUCUCCAUCAUGCUGAAUAGAUCAAAAUACUUGUCUACUUCCUACAAAGAUCCGAACAACAACAUAACUCUCUUGACCAACGAAACUUAACUGGAGAGAAAGAAAGAAGGAAAGUUUAUAUUACCUGCAUACAGAUUAUGUCUGGUUUAAGACGAAUCAUCUCCUCACAUAUCAACCUUUUGCGGUAGCCCCAUUUGAGGUGAGGAAAAGAGACAUUGGAGUACAAAUCUCUGUGAUAUGAUGAAUUUCUAUCUCCCAAAAUGUUAUACGACACUACAGUGAAUCUCUCUGAAUCUAUAUAUCACAAAUAAACACUAUUCAAGACGUUUUAAGAUCUUUGAAUACAAUAGUUCAUGAGUGAAGAAAAAUCAAUUCUAUAUAAGAGAGAAACAUCAUACUACCUUCGGAAACUGGAGAAGUAUCUGAAUCGAUCCAUUCACGAACAAUCGUCCGAGAACUAGGCAUUUGAUCGGCAUGUCGACGACGAGGAGGGGGGUUUUUCCAUCGACGGCUAUAAGAUUGAUUUGAUGAUGAUUCGAGAUGCGAAUCGGACGGUCCAGAUGCUGUGGAGCAAGAGACGGCGAAGUUUACAUUAUCGCAAGAGGAACGGGGAGAUAGAGACGAUAAAGGAGAUCGAUGAAAUCCAGACGAAAGGUGACCACCGGAGGAGAUUCGGAAAGCUCCGCUUGGCCGUGACCAAUAAAAACCGACGCAACGCAUUUGAUUUUUGUGGAGAUUUUGAUACGAAAUUCAGAAUUUUUGAUGAAAUUGAAAACCACACACACACCGCUUGGCGCCCUUAUGGAUAAUAUCUUUUUUUCCAAGUUUCUUCUGAACCUAUACAAAAAUAAAUACCAUUUUGGACACUCCCUUGGCCCAUUAGCAGGCCCAUAGAAAUAUAAAUUGGUUGUGUCCAUUUACAGAUAUACUUUACUGAUUUGUGUGUAUUUUCUUAAAAAAAUUGGUCGACAAAGGAAACAAUCAAGAAAUUUUUGCUACGAUAUCAAUAAAGUAUUUAUCAUUGCAAUAUUCUUCAAAUAAUAUUUCGUAAAUUUUAUAAAUAAAAAAUUAAAAUUACGCAACAAAAUCAAUCAACCAAACACGUCAAAGACUACAAAAAACAUCACAUUUAACCAAACCUAAUCAGUUGACAUAAAAUUUUCGAGCAUUUGGCGAUACGGUGCGACAAAAUAAAACAAAUCGAUACUAUAUAUUUUUUAAUCAGCAUUUUUGUUAAUUAAAAAAAAAAUCGUAGCAUGCUUAGUAUAAUGGCACAGUCGCUCUAACUCACUGAAACAUCAAUAAUACUGUCUGUUUGUUUCUUUUUCGCAAUCUUGCCUUUGACAAAGAAAAAACUCUAUUAUUGCAUCUAUAUUAUAAUGUUCUUAAAGUUUUACUACUCCCUCCGUUUUACAAAGAGUGUCGUUCUGUUUAAAAAAAUAUCGUUUUAGAAUUCCAAUAUAAUUUUUAACAUAAAAUACCAUUUUUAACCUCAAUAAAUUCAGAAAAUUAAUUAUAAAUAUAAUUUUAAAAGUCAUUUUCUGCAAAUUAAUAAGAGUAUAAUAGACUUUUUAUCUUAUUUCUUAAUUUGUGUGAAAAAUGUCAGAACGACACUUUUUGUGAAACGGAGGGAGUAUAAAAUAAUAUCACAAGAAUCCUGGAAAAAAAAACAAUAGUUAAUGAAGUGUAUAUGUAAAUAAAACUUAAAAGUAAAGGAUAUAAACCGUUAUUAAUUGCAUAAUCUUAUUUAUGGAAAAAGUAAAAUGGGUGUAGAAAAAUUGGAUAUAAUAAGAUGAAAAACAAAAGAGAAGUAAAUGAAACGCAACAACCAAGGGCAAAAAGGGUGCGUUACCAUUAAUUCAGGGAAAGCGAAAUAAACCCAAAGCUCGUCUAACGAAGUAAGAGUAACUACUUACCAACUCCUCUCAUUAAUUACCCUUUUUUAACCUAAUCUCUCCAUCUCCAGUUUAUUGAAGUCUUAAGUAGAGAAUAGAAAACCAAGUGUCCGCUAUAGCUAUAAGCCUAGUUUCCAAACUUGUACAUACGUUUCUCUCAAUACCUCAAUAGUCUGCUAGGAGUUUCCAUUUUUUUUUGGGAUAAACAGUUGGGAAAUUUGCAAUAAAGAAAUUAGUAAUAAUUACAUGUAGUCACGCAUCUCAAGGAUGUUAUGUUAAUAAUAAUGGAUAAUCUUUUUUUUUUUGGUCGAACUAUAAUGGAUAAUACCACUCCCUAUCGACUACUACCUACUGUUCAGGUCCGUACACUAAUUAACCUGUACAGUAUUUAAUUGGGUAUAAGAUCAAUAUUCUACUAUGUUGGGAUCAUACGAUAAAAACUUUUAUUUAUAAUUUGAUAUACACAUAGAGAUACUUUAGUUAUAAACCUUAAAUUUUACUGUCGUAUAGUAGAAAAUACCAAAAUUUUAUACAAGUCAUAAUGUAACAAAUUUUCCAAAAUACUUAACAGUAUGAUAAAUUAUUGAUGUCGCUUUUAUAACCAGAGCAAUUCUGGCGUGACUCUCUCCCCAACCUUUUUUUUGGUCUAUAAAACAUUUUCUUCCUCUUUUUCUCUUCCACUAAACUCAUAUCACCUUCGCCGGAAAAAAUGGCUUUCCCGCGAUUUCUCUCUCUCCUUUCCGUCGUCACUCUCUCUAUUUGCCUUACCACGACUGAUGCUUCCUCUCGCUCUCUAUCCACCUCACACAAAACGACAGUGCUCGACGUCGUUUCUUCCCUCCAGCAAACACAACACAUCCUCUCAGUCGACCCAACUCGUUCCUCACUUACCGCCCGAAUACCCGAGUUCAAACCCGAAUCCGACCCGGUUUUCCUCAAUUCCUCUUCUCCACUCUCUCUAGAGCUUCACUCCCGAGACACUCUCGUCGCGUCACAGCACAAAGACUACAAGAGCCUAGUACUGAGCCGACUCGAACGCGACUCAUCCCGAGUCGCCGGAAUCGCCGCCAAAAUCCGAUUCGCCGUCGAGGGUAUCGACAGAUCCGAUCUCAAACCCGUUGACAUCGACGAGACCCGAUUCCAACCCGAGGAUCUAACGACACCUGUUGUCUCCGGGACGAGCCAAGGAAGCGGCGAGUAUUUCUCACGAAUCGGAGUCGGAACUCCGGCGAAGGAGAUGUACGUGGUGCUCGACACCGGAAGCGACGUGAACUGGAUCCAGUGCUUACCUUGCUCCGAGUGUUACCAACAAUCCGACCCGAUUUUCGACCCGACUUCUUCCUCCACUUUCAAAUCUCUCACUUGCUCUGAUCCAAAGUGCGCGUCUCUCGACGUCUCCGCUUGCCGCUCAAACAAAUGUCUCUACCAAGUUAGUUACGGAGACGGAUCUUUCACCGUCGGUAACUACGCCACCGAUACGGUGACGUUUGGUGAAUCAGGGAAAGUAAACGACGUCGCUUUGGGUUGUGGUCACGAUAACGAAGGUUUAUUCACCGGAGCAGCCGGUUUACUCGGUUUAGGAGGCGGAGCUUUGUCGAUGACGAAUCAAAUCAAAGCAAAGUCGUUUUCUUACUGCCUCGUUGACCGUGACUCGGCUAAAUCGUCGAGUCUUGAUUUCAACUCGGUCCAAAUCGGCGCCGGAGACGCGACGGCUCCGCUUCUCCGUAACAGCAAGAUGGACACUUUCUACUACGUCGGGCUUAGUGGAUUCAGCGUCGGUGGUCAACAGGUCUCGAUCCCGUCGUCUUUGUUCGAAGUUGACGCUUCCGGUGCCGGAGGAGUGAUCUUGGACUGUGGAACCGCCGUGACUCGUCUUCAGACUCAGGCUUAUAACUCGCUGCGCGACGCGUUCGUUAAACUCACCACCGAUUUCAAGAAAGGAACGUCGCCGAUCUCUCUAUUCGACACGUGUUACGAUUUCUCGUCUCUCUCCACCGUGAAAGUCCCGACGGUGACGUUUCAUUUCACCGGAGGAAAGUCGUUGAAUUUGCCGGCGAAGAAUUAUCUGAUCCCGAUCGAUGAUGCCGGAACGUUCUGCUUCGCGUUUGCUCCGACGUCGUCGUCGUUGUCGAUCAUCGGAAACGUGCAGCAGCAAGGGACACGUAUCACUUACGAUCUAGCGAAUAAUCUUAUCGGGUUGUCAGCGAAUAAAUGCUAAAAAGUGUGGAUUAUUAUUAUUAUAGUUUUACAGAUAUAUCAGUAAAACUUUUAGUUCUUGGUUCCUUUACAAUGGAAAAACAAAAUCUCAAGUGUGAAUCCCAUUUCUCUUUUAUCUCUUCUUUUUUUUUAGUUUAUUCAGAAGUUAUUUCGACUUUUUAUCGAUAAUAUAUAAUAAUAGUAUUGAUUAUUAUUAAUACAAAUUUGAAAAGUGUUGUUGUCUGAGCGAGAGAUUUUUAGUUGCCUCUGUGUGAAAAGAACAAGAGAAAAAAAGAAUCCCAAAAAAAGUAUUUAUGGUAAGUUAUAUAUUGUUUGUAUGUAUCUCUGUGUAUUUAGCUUGAUUGCCCUUUUAGUUUUUUUUAUGGUUUUGGCUGUAUAUAUCGUUCGAGAAUCGGUGAUACUCUGUUUUUUCUUCAUCUUCAAUAUGAAAGCAUCUUGCUGCGUUAAAAAAAAAGGAAUCUCUGUUUUUUCUUCAUCUUCAAUAUGAAGGCAUCUUGCAAUGGAACAAAAAAAAAAGUUAUCUAUCCAAGGGUGGGCCUUAUUGUAAGUAGAGAAAAGUCUUCGAAAAACUUUUGUUGUGGCCCCUAUCUUCUAAACUGUUGUCUGAAUCUUACUGUAUGAAAUCAAUCAGUGAAAGUAAAUUCUCUUUUGUUUGACUCAAAUGUGAGAAGUCAAGUCAGGGUAGGAGUACAAUUCGCCUUCUCCACACCACGAUUUACAUAUACAUGGAACUGUGAGUGAUUCGGAUUAUUUAAUCUAAUCGCUCGAUUGCUGAUUAAAAUAGUCUAAACACCAUACCACGUAAUCACGUAUCCAUAAAUUUAUAUUAUAAUUAAGGAAAUAGAAGACAUACAAUAAAGUUUUCAGCUAAAAGAGUUUCCACAAUAAUCACGGAAGAAACAAAAUAAAUGUGAUAACUAUGUCAUUAUGUGCGUAAGCUUUUACAUGCAGAAUGACACGUCUUGGUACGAUAGACGAGGGUGGACUUUAGGGUUUACUUAACGACUACCGAGCAGAUCAUGUGGAUAUACAGUGAAGGACGAGUUAGUUUAGCCCGUUUCUGUUUUUUCGUCACUAAAGUCGUCCUUACCUUUGAUUUCUUCUAAAUAUCCUUUUUUCUUUUUCCAUAAUAUAGGGUGCUUCACCAUUACAGACUGAGAAUGAGAUAAAUUUAUUAAGUUUUACAACUUCAAGAAAAUGCCACAUCACAUAUAUUAAAGUUAGCUGACGUAAAUAUGGAACAGGUGACGGCAUAACAUUCUGAUUCGAAAAUCAAAAUCCUGUUUAUGUUUGAGACCAAUCUUUGGGAAAAUUUUAGAAUUGUCGAUUGAUGUAUUUGCUUAUUUUAGAUCAAUCAAUUAUUUAAUAACUAUUCAAAUUACUAUUAUUAUUCAGUUAGACUCGACUAGACUAAAGAAAUUAGUUUUAAAAGCAAAACAGGAAAUUUAAUGAAGAUGAAGUUUUGUUCUCUUUUUUUUUAUUCAACUUAAGGAAACGAUUACAGAGGAGUUAUGUAUUUAUACACAAAGCUACAGGGCGCUCCACUCAACCCUAAUGCCAAGUGUCGCUUAACUAGAGGUCAAUCAAUGAUUAACAAAACACCAAAGCUGUUGCUCGUCGGGAUUGCUUCCUCCGUACCACUGCAGCUCAUCGUCGUCUUUCUCAUCUCUGCAGAGACUCUGGUUUUGUCGUGAAGCUGGAGAGAUGACCGUUGGGAGUUGUUGGGCUUAUUGGUGGGCUUAGUAUUGUUUGGGCCCAACUCCUUUGCCGGUUUUGAUUCGACGUCGCAUUGUGAUACUUCUGAGUGAGCUGGAGGUUUUGUUGUAUUGAUAGCCCCUCUCAAACUUGGUGUUGGUGGGUAGUCUACACCAAGUUUGUACCUCAAAGAACAGAACGCUUCACAGGGCAAGGACUUGGUAAAGACAUCAGCCAAUUGCUGCGGAGAAGGGAUGUGAUUAACGAUGAGAGACCCCAAAGCAACUCUUUCACGAACGUAAUGGUGGUCUAACUCAAAGUGCUUUGUUCUGCCAUGGAAAGUGGGAUUCGCAGUGAGUCGAACUGCAGAGAGAUUAUCACAGAAAAGUUCUGGAGUGGCAGGAAUGGAUACGCCUAUCUCUUUGAGAAGGGAACUAAGCCAAGUGACUUCAGACGCAGCCUCGGACAUUGUUCUGUACUCGGCUUCCGUUGAGCUCUUAGAGACUGUAGGUUGUUUCUUUGAGGACCACGAGAUGAUAUUAUUGCCUAAGAAGGUACAAAAACCACCAGUAGAGCGUCUGGUCUCCUUGCAGCCCGCCCAAUCACUAUCGCUGUACACACGCAUUACACAGUCUGUUCCCUUGUUGAAGUUAAUGCCCAUUGUUACUGUCCCUUUUAUGUAACGUAAGAUCCAUUUGAGAAGCAUGAAGUCAGAUAUAGUGGGGGAGUGCAUCUUUUGACACACAUAGUUGACUGCAAAUUGAAUAUCCGGUCUUGUCAGCGUUAGAUACUGAAGCUUGCCUGCUAAACUCCGGAAGUAUGUGGGAUUGGAGAAGAGUUCAUUUUGAUGAGGAACUCGAUCAAGCUGAAUCGGAAGUGGAGUUGGCAUAGGUGAACAAUCAGUCAUCCCUGCAAUAGCCAGUAAAUCCUCUGCAUAUUUUUGUUGAGAGAGGAAGAGCCCCUCUGAAUGAAAAGGUGCUUGAAUCCCAAGAAAAUAGUGCAGCUGCCCCAUAUCUUUCAUGCGAAAGUGCUUAUUCAACUCGGAUAGAAGGGACUGCAGAAUACAGGAGCCACUGCCUGUGAUGACCAUGUCAUCAACAUAAAGAAGGAGAAGAAUAAUGUCUUUUUGCUUCGAGUAGAUGAAGAGCGAGGGGUCCUUGUUGCUACAGACAAAUCCGAAGUCCAGAAGAAAUGAGCUGAAUUUAUCAAACCAUGCCCGAGGGGACUGUUUGAGACCGUAUAGGGACUUAUUCAGUCGACAAACAUAGUCAGGAUGUGCUUUGUCUUCAAAACCAGUUGGUUGAGUCAUGUAAACCGUUUCAGAGAGAUCCCCAUGUAAAAAGGCAUUCUUAACAUCCAUUUGUUUCACAUCCCAAUCCAUAAUGGUUGCAAGAUGUAGAACUGAUCGAACUGUAGCCGUUCUGACAACAGGACUAUACGUUUCCAAGAAGUCUACUCCCUAUUGCUGAUUAUAUCCUUUUGCAACCAACCUAGCUUUGAGUUUAUCUAAUGAUCCAUCCGCAUGAAGUUUGGUUCUAAAAACCCAUUUGCUACCUAGUAUGUUCAUGCCAGGAGCUCGGGGAACUAAACUCCAUGUGUUCGUUUCAGAGCAGUUGGACAUUUCCUCAGACAUUGCAUUGUGCCAUCCUGGAUGCUGCAACGCCGAGGCAACUGAACGAGGCUCUGGAUAUGCAGCCUAUUGUGUAAGUAAGGCGUAACGAGGAUUGGGUUUAAAAAUACCUUCCUUGGCCCUUGUAAUCAUCUUGUGACCGGGAAGGGAGGGAGUGGUUUGUCGUGCGGUUAGUUAUAACUCAAGGCGCUAGAGCUGUCAGUGGACAAAGGAGAUGAUGCAACAGAGAGUGAAGCUGGAGUUACCGGUGUAGAUGAACGGCGAGAUACUGAGGAAUCUGUCCCAGAAGGUGAAAGCAAGGAACUGUUGCCUAUAGGAACAGGAUCUGUGCCUGCCGUACACCCAGAAUUCCUGCUUUCACUUCUAGUAGACUGAUCAGCUCUGAUUGACUGAGAAGAAGGCCUGAGCACUGACACCGGACGUUGCAGAGGUGGAAAGUCAGAGUUUACAAAGAUUGAUGUUGAGUCUGUGGACUCUGCAGAGGGGAAGUAAGCUGACGAUGUUGAUCCGGUCGAAGGAAUCUGUUCUGAAGAACUUACAGUAGCUGGAAGAAAGCUUUUUUGCCAAGCCUGAAGAAGAGGUGUUGAUACUUCUGGGUGAGCAUCCGGGUAUAAGGUAGCAAAGGGAUACACAUGUUCAUCAAAGAUGACAUGGCGACUUAUUAAAACUCUUCCAGUGGUGGGAAGGUAGCACCGAUACCCCUUAUACUUGUCGUUGUAGCCAAGGAAGAUGCACCUCAAAGACCUUGGAUCAAACUUGUUCUUUGAGUAGUCUCGGAGUGUUGGAUAACAUGCACAAUCGAAGACUCUGAGAGAUGUGUAGUCAGGUUUUUUCCCAUAUAGUUUUUCAAAGGGACUUACAGACGAUUCAAGAGCAGAUGUAGGAAGAAGAUUGCUUAAGAAGUUUGCAGUGAAAAACGAUUCAACCCAAAACUUCAGAGGCAUCUUGCUUUCAAACAUCAUUGAUAAUCCCAACUCAGUAAGGUGAUGGUGUUUACGUUCAGCUAAUCCAUUUUGCUGGGGUGUAUAGGGGCAAGAAAUGUGUUGUUGUAUACCAGAAUAUUGUAGGUGAGUUAAGAAUUUCUUGCUUGUGAAUUCCCCACCACCGUCACACUGAAAUGUACCGAUCUUACAGUUAAACUGAUUUUCCACCAUUUGUUGAAAUACACAGAAUGUAGCAUAAAAGUCUGAUUUAUAUUUCAGUGGGUAAAACCAACAGAAUCUAGACCAAUGAUCUAUGAAAACUACAUAAAAUCUGAAUCCCUGACCCGAAACAACAGGUGCUGGACCCCAGAGGUCAGAGUGUACACGUUCAAGAGGCCUAGAUGCAGAAAAAGAAGACUGAUAAAAGGGUAAUCUACUGCUCUUUCCAAGCUGACAUGACUCGCACAUCCGAUUGGUACUGGUGCUUAUUUUGAUGGCUUGAUUAGAAGAAAGAAGAUGCAGAACUUGCUUAUUUGGGUGGCCAAGUCUCCUAUGCCAAUACUGACGCAAUGUUGCCUAGAGGAGAAGUAAGCUUGAGCCGGUUGGUUCUUCAAACGAUAGAGUCCAUUAGUGCUGCUUCCCGAUAGGAGCACUCUCUUUGUGGUCUUGUCCUUAACAGUUACCCCAUGACAAUCAAAUUCAAACGAACAGGGAUAAUCCGCAGUAAUCUUAGAUACAGAUAAGAGAGGCUUUGCUAUAUUCGGACAAACCAGAACAUCAACUAGAGGGAGCGUACCUGAAGUCGAAGCUAAUGUAGUUGAUCCGGUGUGAGUGAUGGGGAGGAACUCUCCAUUUCCUACCAUUACUAAGUCGGAGCCGACAUAGGACUGAGACUGCUGCAGGUGAUGUGGAGAACUCGUGACAUGAGCUGAAGCACCAGUAUCAGGGUACCAUUCAAGGCCAGAAGACUCUGUGACAUCUGUUAUUCGCAUUGCAGCCAUAGCUGAGGGACCGUCUUCAUACUGAUAAGCAUUAUCGAAUCGGUGCCAGCAUUUCAACGCAGGAUGGCCCAACUUUCCACAGAUCUGACAAGACACUUUGAUCGUACCAUCAGAGGAGGAGUUUGAGCUGGAGAUCUGCUGAGGAAAUCCUCUUCCUCGUGUUGAGAAUGAGCCCCUUCCUCUGUUGGAGUUGAACCGACCACCAGAGUUAUUUCUGUUGUUGUUGUUGUUGAAGGAAAGCGCUCCUGUCUUCUGAGUGGAAAAGGCAAGAUGAGGAACAACAGUGAAGCUGGAGGCGUAAGACUGAAGCUUGUCUUCAAAGUUUGAAACUUUUACCACAAUAUCUUCAAAGCUUGGAUAAGGGUAGGUAUCCAUAGCGUUUUCAAUGACUGCAGUAAUAGCCUGAUAUUCUUGGCCCAACCCAUGGAUGAAACCAUAGAUCUUUUCAUUAUCAUCAACAGCACAACCGAUGGAAUCUAGCUGAUCACAGAUAGUUUUGACUUCAUUAAUGUAAUCAGGCAUAGAUUUACCAUCUUUAGAGACGGUUUGAAGUCUGCGUUGAAGGUCAAAUCUACGGGAGGCUGAGAUGUGAUUGUAUUUCCUUGCUAAGGCCAGCCAAACCUCAGUGGCGGUGUGAAGACCGUAGACCGAGCGCAGAGCCUCUUCAGACAUAGAACCAAAGAGCCAAGCAAGGACUGUCUGGUCGUUUUGAAGCCAAACCAACAGUUCAGGAUUAGGUGCUUCUGUGAUGUUGUCUCCAAUCCGAAGAACGAGUGAGGCCGGAGGACGGGGAGAACCACCAUUAACAUGACCAACAAGUUUCUGGCUAGAUAGCCAGUGUUCGAACUGAGUCUUCCACAGGAGAUAGUUGGAGGCGUUCAAACGAAGAGUCACACAAUGAGAGAGAUUU